rnacentral:lncRNA from 1 species
UUAACUCAAGGUAUUCAAUCUAAGUCUAAUAUAUCCUUACUUUUUUAAGUUUGGAUUAGCUUCGGGUGUAACUCCAGGUUGUUCAAUUUGAAUGAGUUAAAUUUGAGUUGAAUUGGUUAAACCCAUAUGCAAUGAUAUAUAAAUAUUUUUUUUUAACUUUAUCCUUUAUACAUUUAUACCAAAAUUCAAAUAAUAAAUAACACACCAUUUCGAAGUAAUAACAAACAAAAAAUAGAAAAUAACAUUUUCUUUAUUAAAAUGAUUUAAAAACAUAUAAUUUGAAUAUUAUUAUAGAUAAUAAUAUAAAAUAUUAAAUGGGAUUUGAGUUACCCAACUUGAAUUGAGUACAAGUUGAGAAAACUAAACUCGAGCCCAACCCAAGUAUUAAAUAUGUUUGUCCAAUCCUUUCCAUAAAGCAGGCUCGAUUCAAAUUGUUUCUAGCCAACUCAUCUAAAUUGCAUCCGGAUUUAGGUUUUUUUAAUCCUACUAUUAUUUGCCUACAUAUGGACACAUAGAAACUUCAUUUGGAAAGAUACCAAGCAUCUUUGUGAAAUAUGCUAUAUGGCGAGUAAAGACAAACCAAAAGAAAGAUGAUACAAUAUGACAAAUGUUCAGUGAGGCCAUUGUCAAACAGAUUUAACCCUUAACUUCUACUGUAUUCCCAAAUGUGAUUUGUGAGAUGUAUACUGGUGACAGCUAAAAACCAUGGCCAUGUACAAGAUCACCAAACAAAAUUCAUUCAGUCUACACUGUCAAAUAGGAUCAUUUACUUUUCCAGGAAAAAAAAUUCACCCUGAUUGGAGCUGUCAUUGUUUAGGAUGUACUGAGACUGUCUUAACUGGUAGUGGUCUGUUUGUCUUAUGCCUCAGAGAAUUAUAUGCAGAGGUAGAAAGCAUAUAAUAAGCUAAAAGUGACAUUAUUUUUGUAAGAAAACAUACCUUUUCUGUUGUUUUUUCGAUCUUUCAGAGGCCGGCGAUGGUAUUUUAAGAACAGAAAGUAAGGUGGCAUAUGCAGAUUGUAAAAUCUCUAGGACGAUGCCACCGAUCCUUUUCCAAUCUAUUGAUAUUAAACAAUGAAGAGAACCCCACAUCUUGGACCUGCAAAGAUCAAAUAUCACUGCUACUUCCAACCAUUUGCUUUUCAUAGAGUUGCUACAAAUAACCCCAGUUCAUAUUGCAAGUUGCAACUUGUUAAGAAGUUCUACCUUCCUUAAGGAACCAAAACCUCCUGUUCUAUGGCCUCUUUAGUGUCUACUCAGUAAGGGUUUGACAUCAUGGAUGAAUCCAUCUUGCAUACUCAUAAAUGGCAGAGGACUAAGUGUCUGAAAUUGCUCUUUGUUGUAUAUAUUUUUAUUGUGAUCGGUGCUGUAAAUUUUGCAGUUUGUCAUCCUUCUGCAAGUGACUGCAUACUUGAUUUUCAGUCUUUGUCAUCCUCAUCUUCAAGCUGUGAAGAGGGUGAUUGGGGAAGUUUUCUAAACAAGGGCUGCUGUGGAGCAGCUUUUGGUGGAUAUCUCUAUUCACUGGGGAAGCAUGCAAAUGAAACAGGGAAAGUAUACUUGAAUUCCACUGAACAGAGGAAUUGCUUGACUUCAAUGAAACGUUUUGAGGCAGAUGCUGUCAGUUGUGGAAUUGAGAAGCUAACAAGUGGUACUGGGGGCUGUUCUGACUUCUUUGUCUUUGAUGUCACUGAAAAGUUGGGAGAUGAAUUUAGGAGUUUGGAGGAAAAUUGCAAAUUUGUGAGUCCUGAUGGAGAAUGGGAUCAAUCAUGUAGUUCUUGUGUGACGAGUUGGGAAGACAUAAGAGGAAUACACUCCACUUUGAAGGAUGAAACUGAUGUUUGUAGGUUUGCAGUGCUGGUAUCACUAAUAAGCAGCAGAACUGAAGAUGAGUCAUGGUUUGGAAAAAUUUACACAUGCCUCAGGGAGCAGGACAUUGACAAAGGUAUGUAGCUUGAAAGUAUAUAGGGUACUGGCUUUCUUGAGCUUAAUCAAGUUCAAGUUUACUUCUUCUAACACCAUCUAUGUACUAUUACUUGAUAACAAUCUAGGUCAUUUCCAUUUUCAAUCAAAUACGCGGUCCUCUGGACGGGAUGAAACAUCAAGGAGUCAUACAAAGUUUAAAAUUAGCACAGGUGAGUCUGCAUCCACCAUCAUAUCAUCACAUCAUAUCUUAGAUGGUUUGUUCUUUUCAAUUAACUAUGGAGAAUUUUUACACGCGUACAGGUUUAUGGUUUCUGAUAGGAGGUCUCAUAGCGAUGGCUUUGAUAAUAACCAUUGGUAUAUGGUUCUUGUUAAGGAGAUGGUGUAAAUCAUAUGCUAUACCAAAGAGAGCAGGUACAGCAUUACAGCAUUUCAUAUUCAAUAUCAGAAACCAAAAGUUCCCAUACAAAUAGCUUAUGAUAUAUGUAUAUAGUGAUUCUGUUUAUUCAUUUGACAGCAUUAAAAGCCGUGGCACCAGAGGGGCCUGGUUGUAUGAAAAUCUCAAUCAAGGAGGUCUACUCUGCCACAAACAAUCUAAAUGAGAAGAACAUCAUUGGUGAAGGAACAGCAGGUGAGAACCCAAGUGAAAGAGACAUGGAACUUGGUCUACCAAGCCACACUAAAGAGAAACAUCUUCCUUUUUGUUGCCCACUUUCCGCCAUUUUCUUUGACACUUUUUCUAAUAUCCUUUCACGGUAUUUGAAACAACAACAUCAAGGAAUGUAUCUAUGUUGUCUAGAAUGGGUCUUUGAGAAGUACUAAGAAUGAAAUUAUGAUAAAAGUCACAAUAGAUUUGUGUCUGUGUAUGCAUGUUUUUUAAGUUUGCAAGUGUGUGACCAACAUGAUCAUAACAUAUGGUUUUCAACUUUGACAUCUCGUUUGGAUGUUAUAUCAGGAAAGGUAUACAGAGGCAUACUACAAAACAAUCAACAUGUUGCAGUCAAGCACAUCAUCAAUGACAAUCAUAUGGAGACCUUUGUCAGGGAGAUCACAAGCUUAUCACACAUCAAACAUCCAAAUCUUGUGGCCUUACUGGGUUAUUGUGAAGUAGAAGAUGAGUGCUUCCUUGUUUAUGAACUAUGUCCCGAUGGAAACCUCUCAGAGUGGCUUUUUGGUAUCCCUUUUUCUUAUUAUGAAGUUAUUCUCUCUGUUUGAUUCCUUCAUUGCCAGUAAAUAUAAGUUGAUGCAUGACAGGGAAGGAUAAAGUCCUGUCUUGGAUUCAAAGGCUUGAGAUUGCAAUCGACAGUGCUCAAGGUCUUCUUUUCCUCCACACAUAUCCAGCAGGAUGCAUUGUUCACCGUGAUAUCAAGGUCCUUCCCAUUAGUAUAGUUCUUGCAUUUCUCAUGAAUAUAUCAGUAUGCAAUGCCUGUUGAUAGUUUUUUGUUCACAUCUCUAAUAAUACUAUAGGUUGGAUGGAUCUAAACUAUUACAGAAUCCAAAAAAACUCCAAACUAUAAAACAAUUUUGUGCCUUAUGCUUGACCAAGUUUUCUCUAGACGCUAUUCUUAUGUUUCCCAAUUAGCAGUAAUAUGAUAUAUGACACAAAAAGGGAAAGACUCCAGUCCACUGAUGAAAAUAGCUUUUAAUUCCUGCAGCCAACAAACAUUCUUCUUGGAGCAAACUUUGAAGCCAAGCUGUCUGACUUUGGAUUGUCCAAGGUUAUUGACCAGGGUGAAUCCCAUGUUAGCUCAGAAGUCAGAGGAACUUUUGGCUAUAUGGAUCCUGAGUACCAAUCCAACCACCAUGUCAACCCAUCUGGUGAUGUAUACAGCUUUGGGAUAGUGCUUCUUCAAAUCCUCUCAGGGAAGAAAGUUAUAAAUCUGAAUCUGAAGAAACCAAUGUCUUUAGAUAAAAUGGUAAAAAAAAUCACUGCCUGCAUUUGUUUUCCGAUUCUAAAUUCUCUUGACCUAUGAACUGCAAUUUUAUUCUUUUAUAUUUCUGCUGUCCAGGCCAAAAUCCUUACAAAAGAUGGAAGCAUAACAGAAUUUGUAGAUCCUAAACUUGAUGGGGAGUACUCAGCAGAAGCUUUUGACCUGAUACUUAAGCUUGCUCUCUCAUGCACAUCGCUUAAGCAACAACGGCCAUCUAUGGAACAAGUUGUUCUGAGGUUAGAAAAGGCCCUUGAAAUCUCAACUAUGGCAAAGGCUUGUACACCUCAACUGACACCAAAUCGUCUAUCAUCUGGAGAAAAGAGAUUUCUCGACGAGAUUCAUUGUUACAAUAAUAUCUUGUUUGACAGUACAUGAACAUUAGAAUACCAAAGCAUAUUUGUACCUAGUUUCAUAAUCAGAAGCUGAUUUAGAAUUUAAUGAUCCAGGAAUUGUGUAAUGAAUCAUAAAUCCAUGGAAUGGUGAUAUCCAUGGAACAACAUUCUGGUAGAGAAUUACUAGACAUUCAAAAUGGCAUUCCCUGAAUGCCAUGAAUCAUUUGACACUACUAAACAGCUUUUCCUUUCCAAUUCCAGACAUGGAAAAUUGACUCCCUGAGAUUAUCUAGGUAAACUCUUUAUUCAAAUUCCUGUUAUCAGUGUACUUAAUCAUCUAUCUGCACAUCCCAACUUGACUAAAAGAACAUAUCUAUAUACCUAUCUCUACCAAGAACAAUCUCACCAUUCAAUGCUACCUUCUAUAUUUCUUCUAGGAAACAAGGAAUGCCUCUCUUUAUGAUGAAAGCAGAAGGCAGAAGAGUUAGGAUCCUGUGACCACACCAGAUACUGGCAUUCUCCAUACAUCCAUCUGAGUCCCAUAUCUUUGUUCUUUUGAAGAAAAUUAGUCCAAGAUCUUAAUGAUUUGAUCCAAGAAUAUAUUUUGUUGGUUUCUUUAUAGCCUCUAAUUUACAUGUCUAAUUUCCACUUGCUUUGCUCAAGUUUCAAUAUUAGAUGCCAUAAUGAUCCCUUUGGACCUUGAAAAGGAGGAAGGAAAGAAAAAUUCUGAAAAUAGCUUCAGAAGAGAAUCCAUCUUUAAGCAAGCAUUUUUCCUUCCUCCCUCUGGAUUUUUGGAGAUGCAAAUGGAGCCUGUAUCACUUUAGAUUUGAUCUUUCAAAAAGUUAUUGUCAACGAUAAAUGACUAAACUAAAAUAUCCCUUUUCCAACCCUUUCUUUGCUUCAAACUUGGGGCUUUUUCUUGCAUCUCAAAGGAUGGAAAGGCAAGUAACUUAUUUCAUGAUGGUGGGCUAAUUCCAAUACUAGGAGACCAGUAAUCUCUGUUCUUAAACUCAAUGAUAGGUUCUGUUUACUGCUCAUAAUUGAAAAUGGUAUAUGAAAACUACAGCUAGAAACUUAUAACCAAGCCGGGUUUUUCAAAGGCGUAACAACAGCCUUAACUUGCAUGUAGUUACUAAGGCCAUAAAUUCCCUUUUCUCUGCCAUGCCCACUCAUCUUCCUCCCACCAAAAGGAAUUGCAGCAUCAAAGACAAAAAAGCAGUUAAUCCAUACUGUCCCAACUCUCAAAGCUCGAGUCAGAGUAUUGGCAGUGUCUAGAUUCUGAGUGAAAAUUCCAGCAGCCAGCCCAUAGUGAGUAGCGUUUGCCCUUCGGAUCACCUCAUCAAGAUCCCUGUUAUUGGUAAAAGCAUAAAAGCAGGUAAAAGGAGGGAAAAUCUUUUGAGAAUAACAAAACCAAGAUGAUUAAGAAGAUGCAUAGCUCACUUGAAUUUCAAGAUGGACUGCACUGGGCCAAAGAUCUCUUCUUUUGCUAUCAACAUAUUAUCCUGAUUGGCAUAAGGAUUAAAAUCAUGUUAAAAUUUCUUCCUUCUUGAAUACUAAUGUUAAGAGAGUUAUAGUACUCAUACAUGGACAUUUGAGAAGACAGUGGGUUGAAUAUAGUAGCCUUUGGAGCUGAAUUUUUCACCUCCAGCUUCAAGAGUUGCACCAGCUUCAAUACCAGAUUUUAUGUAACCAAGGAUCUUGUUGAAUUGCUGAGAAUCAAUCUGAAAUAUUUAAAAGGACCAAAACAAGGUAUCACUUUCUCAGCCUUGAUUUACUUGUAGCAUGUUUCCAAUCAAUAAGCCAAUUAGAAAAAUUUUUAAAAAUGAAUCUCCUCUAACUGAAUCAUUUCUUGUGUUUGAGCCCUUGGAAAAAAAAAGGGUUGGGAUUACCUGGGGUCCUUGUUCAACCCCCUUCUUGAAAGGAUCACCAACUACACGUUUCAGAGCACGUGCCUUUGCUUUCUCUAUAAACUCAUCAUAUAUGCUUUCGUGUACAAAUGUGCGUGACCCAGAACAGCAAGACUGUCCCUGCAGAUGAGAAUCAUCACAUGUCCUUUAGUAUCAAAAUCAUGUUCAAGAAAAAAUGUCAAACAAUUUCAGCUUGUUACUCAGAAACAUAUUUGAUAGAACAAAACCUGAUUAUAGAACAGAGCAGUGUGUGAAAGCUCAACAGCCUUAUCAACAUCAGCAUCCUCACACACAAUGAAGGGAGAUUUUCCUCCAAGUUCUAAAGUCACUGGCUUAAGAUUGCUCUUUGCAGCCAAUCCAAGUACAAUCUUACCAGUGCCAGUUGACCCUGUGAAAGCAAGCUGCAAGGUAAUAAAUGGUUUUAGGUCAAAACCGAUGAUAAACUACCUCCAGACUACAUAUAUAUUGCUAUUUAUAUUGUGGCAAGCUGAACCUAGCAUUUCAGGCUUAUCGGAUAUAAUUUCUAAUCCUGCAUUGAACUACACAUGGAAGGACAUCAAAUAGUGGUGACCCAAGACAAUGAUCACAGAAACCUGUCCCCAAUUAUCUUUGUGUCUAGAUUUUCUAGUGGAAUAUACAAGAAAUGAGCUUAUAGGCCUCACGGCAUAUUUGCAGCAAUCCUUUCACUUAUUUUUCCUUUGGUCUCAACCAAACCGGGGAAUAAAAUAUAUAUAACAGGUAUUAAAGCCCUGAGCAGGCCUCCUGGGAACAUCAUUGAGGCCAUUCCACUAUCCCUCCAAUAUUCAAAAUGAAGAUUGCCCAUCUCCUUGGAUAUCAUUUUCGGUUAGUCCCUUCUGAAAGCACUGAUUUGUGAUCAUCAGUGACGAAGAAAAGAUAUUGGAGGGACAAAGAGAUCCAUGUUAUAAUCCUUUAUAUUAAUCCAGAGAUCUUUGUCCCAGAUACAGAAACAAAAUCUGAAGCAUGCAAGGUACCUUGUCCACAUCCAUAUGACUAGAAAGAGCGGCCCCAGCUGUAGGACCAAAUCCGGAAACCACAUUUAAAACACCAGGAGGGAGUCCAGCCUGUCAAAGUUAAAACAAUUGAGAUUGAAAAUCAUCCCAAGGAAAAGAAUACUUGCUCAAUUUAAAGGAACCCAUGGUGUUUACAUCUUUGUUCACAUGUAAUUCACUUCUUUAAGCAUGUAGAAUUCACCUGAAUUCAUUUUGGAAUCUGUACAAGAAGAUAGAUAUUAUUUGUAUGUGUUAAAAUCUUGAGUCCAAGACUGCAAAGGCCCUUUAAACAUAAGGAAUUAGCGGAAUGUGUGCUUAAAUCACACCAGGUUCUUUAAGGAUUUCUAUGUCUAGGUUGCCUCUACAUACUCCUAUUUUUGGACGGAGCACAAUAAAACUCAGGGAGAGGAAUUAUUCAAAUGUUUCUUGUCCUGGUUAGAUAUGAUAGGAGGUGAAUUAUUGUCAACUUUAAUACAAGACAAAUGAAAUUCACGAGCUUUACCUCAUAGAGAGAGAGAGAGAGAAAGAGAGGCUACCUCAUAUAACAGCUUGGACGCAUAGAGGGCAGAUAAUGGUGUCUGCUCUGCAGUCUUUAAUACAAUAGUGUUACCACAUGCUAAUGCGGGCCCAACCUUCCAACCAUACAAUAAUAGAGGAAAGUUCCAAGGAAUAAUCUGCCCUGCAACACCAAUGGGUUCAUGGAGGGUUUGGACAUGGUGCAGCCCAUCAGCAGGAACUGUGAGACCAUGAAUCUUAUCUGCCCAGCCUGAAGAAUAUAGAGAGUGUGAGGUAUUUGAAUGCCAAGCAACAGGUGCAUAUCAACUAUUUUUUUCACUUCCCUUACCAGCAUAAUAUCGAAAUACGCGAAUCACCAUUGGUAUUUCAACAUUUGCAGCUUGUUCAUAAGGCUUUCCAUUAUCCCAUGAUUCAAGGGCUGCAAUUUCACUACAGUGCUUUUCAAGCAAAUCAGCAAAGCGAAAAAGUAUGCAUGAUCUUUCCUGGCCAUAUUUAGCAACAAAGAGUGAGGCAAGAUAUUUACAUAUCAGAAAUCCCCAGAAAACAACAACAAUUCUAGAAUUUGAACCAAUGAAAAAAAGGGGAAAUAAAGAAGGGCAUGUAUUUACAUAAGGGGUCAUCUUUGGCCAUGGUCCCUCAUCAAAUGCUUUGCGAGCAGCAGAGACUGCCCUGUUUAUAUCUUCAGCCUCACCUUCAGCAACAUGAGCAAUCACAUCCCCUGUUCUUGGAUCCAAAGUUGGAAAGGUUUUCCCUAAUGUGACAGAAUGCAAUGCCUUAUUAAGGUGAUCGAAGUUGAACAGUAUAUAGUCAAAUAUACAGCAAGCGAAAAGGCUAACACACUAGCCAGGAAUCAAACACCCACCCGAUGCCGCAUCAACGAAUCUUCCAUUGAUGAGGAGCUGAGUAUAAUCUAUUUGAACUGGUGGAGUUAUCGGUUCCUCCUCAGUUGCAACAGCUGUGCUAAACCGGCUACUGCCUCUACCCCAUCUAGAAUACCGACCUGAAAAUUUGUUUUCCAGUCACUAAACUGAAAUUCACGAAGGCCCACUCUUCCCCCACCCAAAUUCUUAUAUCAACCACAUGGAAGUAUGGAAGAAUUCAAGGGAAGGGAGUGUUGCAGGUAGGGAAGAGAAAGGACAAAUAAUUUUCCACUCAGGGCGAAGGCCAUGGAGAGAAAUUCACUACCCUAAAGUCCAGAAACCAUUAGAACUCCAAAUCAAGAAAAAAAAAACCCAUAGCUUUUCCAUAUGAGGCCUGUGGCUUCAAGAGCUCCUUAAAAGAUUAAACAAAAACGAAACACUUGGUAUUUUUUCUUCAAAACAGAGCUUCAGCUAAAUAGUUACAUAAACUCCAGUUAUACAACCAUGAUGAGCAAAAGAACUACAUGAUCAGACACAUAGAAAUAUGCAUGUGGACUGAGAAAAACUAAGAGCAUCAUGGGUGUACCAAAAGAACGUAAAGAAGCAGCAGUGGAAGAAGCAGAGAGCAGAGAAAAUAUCCUGGGAGCAGCCAUCGCUAGUGAAUACUGACUCCUGAAGGUUUUCAAUCAUACAAAUCCUAGUAUUUUCUUGUCUUCCAAGAAAGUCUAAGUUCACCACAGUGUUGCAAUUUGCAAUAACUUCUGAGUGACACCACCAAAGAUGGAGUCUAUGUUUGGACAUGAAACCAAAGGUGGAAAAAUGGAGGCUUAUUCUACUGUAUUCUCUUAGCGAUCUUGCCUAAAUUGCAUGAAGCAACCCUCCUUUUUUUGUGCAACCAAAUAAGGUAAGAAGUGUAGUAAAAAAAUGUGUCAAAAUAUAACAUACUUUUUCUAUUCGUCCAAUUAGAAGUGAUUUUGAAAUAGUUAAAAACACUUAUUAAUAUUUAGAAGUUCUUUGGUACGAUUGACAUCUCUUUAAAAGUCACUAUUUAAGCAUACGACAUAUUAUCAAAAAAUACUUUUUUUUUUGGUUCAUUUUCAAAUAUUUUUAUGAAUAUGUUUAACAGUAUUUUGAUUCAAAGUAUUUUUAUUGAAAGUGUUUUUCAAAAAAUUAUUGAUUAAGUGUUUCUUUAGAAAAAUAUUAUUAAUGAUUUUCUAAUACUACGAGUGAUUUAUAAUAUUUUUAAAAAUUAUCGUUAAAUGCACUUUAAUUCUAUAUGAAAGUGUUUUUAGAGGAAUGCUAUUGAUAAAAGUGAUAUAAGAUAAUAAUGCAUUUUAAAAGAAAUGACUCCCAAAGCUUAUUUUAUGUAGUUAUUAUUGAUAACCCUGUAUUACAAUUUACAUCAAAAUAAGUGAGAAUUUUCAAAAUGCACGUAGCAAUUAGGGUUUUGUUUGAUUGAUUAAUUGUGGGCCAAAUGACAUGACAUGCAUGAUUUCAUGAUGGGAUGACCAUCUGAAAGUGACACCCCCAUUGAGGUUAGUAGGUGGAUGUGGCCAAAUGACAUGCAUGAUUUCAUGAUCGGAUGACCAUGUGAAAGUGACCCCUCAUUGAGGUUAGUAGGUGGGUGAACUUUUUCAAGAGGCUCAUCUCUCCUUGGGAGAGAUACAAGUUUUGAAUUCGUCGUAUGUUCAAAGGGAGAGGUUAGACACCCCUGCAAAUCUUGUCCUUUUUUGGGAAAAAGGAAACCACUUGUUCCAUGAUGCAAGUCCUUUUGCCAAAAGAUAAACACCCCAUCUUAUCAUGGAAUCAUGCUUGAUGAGUUUAUCACAUUAAAAAAAAAAAAAAAAGCUUAAUUAAAUAAUUUUUUAUGUUCUACAAAAUUAAAAAAUAAAUAAAAAAGUACCAUGUUGGUUUGAUGAUUGGACUUGUUAUUUUCUUUUAUACCAUCCAUUUGAUCUAACUUUUUGUUUGAUUGAUGCAAAUAUUAGAUGGUUUUGAGGAUUUUUGGUAAAUAUUUUUUUCACAAUUAUUUUUUAAAAUGGUUUAUAGAAAAAUAUAUUUCAUAAUAAAAAAAAAGGAAAGCGUUUUCUAUUAUUAAAAAUAGAAAAGAUAGUAUUUUAAAUUUUAACUUAUUUUUUUAAGAAUUGUUUUAAAAAAUAAUUAAAUAAAUAUAAAAAAUGAUUAAAAAUGAAAUAGUAUAUAUAAAAAAUAUUUUAAAAAUAUAGAAAAUAAAUUCAAAAACCUUUUAUGUUCUAAAAUAAAUUUUUAUUUUAUAAAACACCAAAGAAUAAUCAAAAACUAUUUUCGAAAACUUAUGAAAAGGAGUUUUGGCUUCUAAAAUAAAAACUCCAACAAAAGCUAAGGAUAUAUGGGUGCACUGUCAAUCUUUUAACUUUUGUUUUUAUUCUUCUUCUUUUUUCAAUAAAUUUUAAAAUGGAAAAUUAUUGGCUCAUUUCUUUUACAAUUUGGAACAAUUUUUUCCUUUUCAUUUUGAACACUUGCUUACAUCAAACUUGUAGCCACUAGCCUGUGAGUGCCAGUAACUAAUAGAGGUGAUACUGCACACAACUAUUUGAUAUUUCUUCCAAACAAGGUCAUAUGACAGAGAGUAGAGAGGAAGCAUGGCAUCACAGCCAUAGAAAAAGGUUGAAAAUUUCUUAUGUCACCAAUGUUAAGAGGAAUCAGAUCAAUUGCUUGCUUAUCACAGCAUAAUUUUACAUCACACAGAAACUAACUUUCAGCAGAUGAAGGAAGCAGAGUUGGCUGUUUUCUCAUCAAUUGGUAGUCAUCCAAGCUGUAUGCAUUUGGGUUCUGUGAAUACAGUACCUGACAAGUGAUGACGAUUCAAAUUUUGAUCAUUUUCCAUAGAUUCAAUCAUUCAGGAGCCCGCAAUACAGAACAGACAGCUUGUAUUUCAUGUGGGGUUAAGGAUAUGUCAAGGUUUGGGCUGAAACAAUAAUGUUUUAUCGACUGUAAACUUUGUCUGAUUCACAUCUCCAUUCAAUAUAGUUAGAUGUUCAGAGUCAUCAAACAUGAACCCAGGAAGCCAUGAUCAAGCAGAAGUUUUGAGGAAUUUGUUAGCCUUGUAAGUAUGAAUGUACUCAUAUUCAACAGUUUAAAUCUGUCAGAGAAUGGUAUACAAUCUGUAAGGAAGAAUUAGUUUUGCAAUUAUCAGGAGGAGAAACAAGAAAGGCACAAGGAGAAGAGAAUUGGGAGUGUGACAUACAUUACUAGUCUAUGGUAAAAUUUACACAAAAGUUGUAAAGAAAAUCCUAACUGAUCUCUUGUUAGCUCCUUCAAUCUUUUUCUGAUCAACUGGUUCUUGUACUAACUAAACAUCCUCAUGGCCUACAGAAAAAUCAGGUUCAUCUGGCUUUAGCAGCCGGGGCAUCUUCAAGCUAGGAGCAGCAGGCUCUACCACCCGAACCUCCUGAGCAACCCCUCUUCUUGUAUUUGCAGCAAAUUUUGAAGCUAAAAUCGUGGCACCAAGAUGUUGAACAUUGUUUGGAUUGUCUGUUAAUGCGCUCUCGUCUCUUCCAACCACAAAAUUUCCAUCUGAUGGCUCAUCACUGAGAUUAUACUCUUGAUCAGGGAUCAGCAUAUAGUUGUAGCUCUCUUGUCUAGCCAACUCCUUUGCCAGCUUUCUCUUUUUAUAUCUUCUCCAAGCAUCUUGUAAAUAGCAAGUACCCCAUGUCCUCCAUUGUUGAGAAUAGUACCUGAAGGCAUGCUGGAGUUUCUUGUUGUGAAGUCGCCUGAACUGACUUGCAACAAAUUUGAGGUCUUCAGCUGUUAGUGCAAAAGCUUCAACUUCACAAAGAGACCUUACAGUUCGAGUAGAAGACGGCAAGUUUAUGCUCGGGUUAGGCAUUAAGGCCCAUGUCAGUAAUUCCUCGCCACAGAAGUCACCAGGUCUAAGGGUGAUGGAGUUGAAGAAUCCUGAUCUUCCCCCAUUGGUUGUGGAGCUCUCCAGUUGUCCUCUAAUGAUAAACAGCAUCUCAUUUACUGGAUCACCCUCUCGAAAGAUAUAGGUGCCUUCAGUACUCAAGGAUGAGGUGAGGCGUUCGCAAAUGGCAUCAAGAAGCUGGUCAUCCAUUUGUGCAAAGAAAGGCACCUGUAAAACAAAACUAGGCAAUUAUGGACCAGAGAAUAAUUCUGCAUAGAGAGAAAGCUAAUAGUUUUUAUAAUCAAUUUGAACAAUCUGAUGCUUGUAAUUAAGCUCUAGCUGUGUAACGAAUCUAACAAUGAACACAAGAUAUUUGCCAUAUUACAUAAAAUGAUGUUUUCUGACAAGCAACGUGCUCUGUUACAUUUGAUAGGGUGGAGAAGCAAGUAGCUUGCAUGGAAUCAAAAUGUUUAAAAAUAUAUUUGCAAUAAGAAACUCUUGCCAUAUUAGAAGGGGGCCUAUACUGCAUAACACAAAAUGGGAUUCCAAAGAAGCAGAAUCCCUUUUGCCCUAAAAGGGGAGGCCUGUAAAUACAGUGUAAUGGUUGUAAAAAUCAUAGACCCAAAAGAACAUCUUAUAUGCAUGAUUAGAAAGGAUAAAUCACAAAUAAAAUACCAAGGAAGACAUACACGGCGGACAAGGCCAAGACAUAGGUGCCUUUGUAUUUCACGACGGAGAUCCAGGGGCAACCAAUGCAAAAUUGAUUCUUCAUGAACUCCUCUUGUUGCAAGCCAUUUGUACUGCACAAACCGAUGUACCCGUUCUUGCAAAGCUGGAGGCAAUUGACGGUGCCUCAUCCACUCCUCUGUAUCUCUUCGCUUAACCCUCCAUUCUUCAAGUCUUACCGUCAUAGAUUGCAAAUAGGUCUUGAGGAAGGGAAAAAAAACUAAUUCAUUAGUAAAAGUAUUUGGGCCUACUAACAUUCAUAAAGAGUCUGCAUUAGGGUAUAGUGCCUGCAAGUCCAACCUUACCCAUCAGAAAUCCUCAAAUCUUCUCCACGUUGAAUGAGACUAAUGCAAUUUUUAUUUUCAGUACCUAAAACCCCACUAGCCUGGGCAUUGACAACUCCUUGAUUUGCUAGAAAAAUUGAUAUGGAGAAAUGGAUAUGGAAGAGCAAGGCUUGAUUUGCUAGAAAAAUUGAUACGGAUAAAUGAAUGUGGAAGAGCAAUUCUCAUGUUCCAAUGCCUUCAAUCCACCAUCAAGUUGAUCCAUUCUUUGUUAUUUCAUUUUUGCUAUUUCAACAUGCAUGCAGCAAAAGGAAAAAAACAGGACAGACAUAAAGAGAUGAUGGAGCUCUAAUGACUAAAGUGGAUAACAGUAUCUGACUAGGUGAGGACCCUUUCCAACCCCAUAAGAUAGCCUCGUAACUUAUCUGCAAGGUGAAGAUCAGUUGUUUACGAAGAAUGGUCACCUCAAGAUCCAUUACACCUUCCUUUUUCCUAAUUUACUCACGAAUUAGGUGGUGGGUCCAUUUUUCCAUUUUUCCAUUUUCUUGCAUUUUCUUAGUCAGGAAACAAGAAGAAGAAGAAGCUAGAAAAGGAGGCAGAAAAUAGUACCUGCAUGUUUCCAAUCAACUGUGAAAAUAGAACUAAACCCCCAAUGCAUAUAACAAUGCAAAAUGUUGUCUCGCCAAUAUAAAUGCUUGUUUCCAAAGUCUGUCCAUAUGAACUGCAUUACAAAACUAAAGGCUAUAUUAGUAUGAACACAAAAUUAAACAUUUUAAUCAAAUCAUUAAUUAUCUUGAAAAACAUUAGUAUGAAAUGAAAAGAUAAGACAAAAAGGUGGUACCCAAUGCAAUCAGUCACAUGUGGUACCCAUGACAUGUGUACGUCGGGAGAUUAAUUUAAUCAAUUGAACAGAAAAAUAACCUGAAAACUCAACUAAAAUUGCAAUGGGUAAUUUCCUGAAGGCAAAACUAAUCUAAUGUAGUAUGUGAUAGAAAUAAUCUCAUGGAUAAGCAAACCAUUCAACAAAGAGAAGAACAAUUAAAUGUUGCAUAACUAAUUAGCCGAAAAAUUCUAUUAAAGAUAUUUCAAUGUAGCAUUCAUAACAACAGUUUACAUUAAAAUAUAUGGUAGUUGCACACUUCUACGUGUACUAUAGUCUAUUGGCUAAGGCUGAUAUUGAAACAGAAAACAUCUAACAUCCAAAAUCUACAAGUUCAUACCUUAAAUUUUUUAAUCCCCACCAGAGGCAAUACAAGUAUUUCUCAAUAAAUUUUGAUGAAGCAACAUCAUUAGUAAAAGCAUCUGCAAACAUUCCAAACUUAAAUUCUGUAUCAUGCCCUCUAGCAUCACAAUUAGCAACUACUCGAGUAGCAUUCAUCCAAUACUGCCGUUCUUCUAGUUCCAAACUUUUACAGUCCAGAAAACUAGGGAGACAAAAUGAAAUUCCUGCUGCACUUUCUUUUGCACACUCUGCUUUCCAGCAGGCGUGCUGUCGGCCCAUGGACAAUAGAUACCAAGAAGCUCCUAAUACCUGCACCAACAGAAAAUGGGUAGAACCAUCUAGAUUAAGUGUCAUAAUUACUUAACCGCAUUGUAUUUUGAGGUUGUGAUGUUUCAAUUAGUUUUACUUAGUUAAAGAGAACAAAACAGUGGAGUAAGGGUCUAUUGGGAGACUGGAUCCUUACAUGACUGGCUAGCAUGUAAAGAAGGAGAUUGUAAGCAGCUCCUGCCCAAGCAGUCUUAGCAACAACUCCUGUAGUUUUUAUGAUCCGCCGAUUCAAAGGGAAAAUAAGGAACAGUCUAGGAACAUAUUGAAUGAGUACAAUGAGAGCAAGAGUGUUGUUGGUCUGAUCUGCUCUGUCUUUUUUUGUUGCAGGUAUUACCAACCAGAUGACAAUCUGCAAAAUAGAAGGAAACAAAAAACUGAACUCCCAAAGACGUGCUGUAAGAAUUGUGAGAACCAUAGACACAAUAAAACCAGAUCUUAGCCUAAUUAAGCAUAAGUGUCAAGUGUUCUUUUUUUUUUUUCUUUUUUUUCUUUUUUUUAAUUAAUUAAUUUUUUAUAUUUAGAAAAGGUAAUGUUCCAACAUCUAUUCCCCUUCAGCAAGGAAAAUUACAUGACAUGCUGCCAAAAUCCAAAUACCAGAAGACUUGCAAAAAUGAAUUACUUUUCCUUUUCUGGAAAACUUUUAAGAAAGAUUCUAAAUCCAAUACACUUCUCCACAUUAUUUCACUCUGCAUUUUGAAUCUCACAUCACUAGCUCAUUCUCCACUCAUCUUUUUCCUUUGCAUCUUUUAAUUGUGCCAUAGGAUUCUAACCUCUGUAUUUACCAUGUGAAUGAACAAUCAUCUUCAGAGCUGACUAGUGAUAGCACCCUCUCUUAAAUUUAAAAUGUCAACUAACAAUGGCUACCUAUCUAUGUAAGACCAAAGAAAACUACCAGAAGCCCCCUUUCAGAAAGGAAAACAACUUUUAUUGAUGAAACAAAGUAGCAAAUAAGAGUUUUUCGGUGGUUACCCUAGAAGGAAAAUCAAAUUAAUAAUCACAAUAGCAUUCCUAGUGAAGAUGGUAUGUGGUUUUAGAAAGAGCAGCAUGUUCCCGGGAUUGAAUGGCUAAACAGAAAAUCCAAGGGAAAGAGAAAUGAAAUUUCCAAGGGUUCCCUAUGAAAUUUUAAGGGAUAACUUGACCUAUUGUGCUUUUUGUCUAAAAUUUCAGAUUUCAACUUCAAUUUCUUGCACACAAAUCAAUGGAAUCAUCAAGCUCUCUUGCUUUCCGAAUUGUUUAACUCAACCCCAUCAACAAAGUAGUCAGCUGAACCCUAACCCAAAGACCUAACCCUAAACCAAUUAAAUUCAAUUCAAUGGAAAACACAAUUACCAACGUGCCUGAGGAAGCGGUAGAGUGGCAGCUAAAUCAAUAAUAAAAUCAGACUUCAAGUAACGCAUAGCGAUCGUGUGAGCAUCCAUAACCAGCUCACCGCGACCAAGGCCUCUCGAACUGGGAGCCACGAAAGCAGUCCGAAACUUCAUCACCAUAUGCAGCAAGUAAAAGAGAUCGGAAACAGUACGGAAGAAGGUAACAACAAUGCCGAGGCUGGUGUCACUGGUGAGGCAGGCAGGACCGCCGACGGAGGGGAGGAAGAAGUAGAGAGGGUCGAGGAAAAGGGAAAUGAGAGAGGUGACGAGGAAGACGUGGUUCCAAUAAGUGACGAUGUCGCCGUCGGGCUCGAGAAUUUGGUAGCGCCAGAGAAUGUGGUAGGGGUUGAGGUCGGAGGUGAUGGGCGCGUAGGAGGGUCGUCGCCGGAAGGGGCGGAACUUGGAGGCCGGCGUGAGAAUUGCUGUAUUCAUCUUCCAUAGCGGAGUCCGGUGAUUCGGAAUCCGCUUAGAGAGAGCAGAGGAUCAGAGGAGAAACAUUGAAGAAAAAGAAUAAGACGAGAAGGAGAAGGAAGAAGGAAGAAGGCGGUGUUUCAGCAAAGGUGGGUGGUUUGGGAUGGUGGUUAAGGGGUGGUUUUUGACCGUUGAGGAUUUCGCGGGAAGCCUAGGAAAGCGCAUGGACUUCGGUGCUCCAAGUCGGUAUGACCGCUAAAUAAAAGGGCAUAGCUCUCCCGCAACAAAGAUAUUUUUGUCUGUUCAAACUUAAAUAAACUUUCUGAUAUUAAGCAAUUAAAAAUAUACCGUGUAAGCCUCCAACCAAAGAACAUAAGCAUCAAGAAAAGGCCACGACGCCUGCAACCUCUGCUAACAUAUGCUGAGACCCCUAAUGCUAUAACCCCUUGCUUCUCUUCCAAGACUGACAUCACAAUAUAGCAUUCCACUCCAUGUGUUUUGCCAACCAAGCUAUGGAGAGCAACCCAAAGAAGACUCUGAUCUGGACAGCUCCUGAUGUCAUGCAUGUAGAAGUGUGCUGCCAAGGAAACCAAUUCAAGCAAAGAAAGGGAAGACAGUAGAAGGGCAUAAAUGGAUGUGAUAAAAGGCCCUUUAAGACUCACUCCUUUGAUGGAUCUGUACCACCUCUCCUUUAGAUUCAUGCGCUUCCCUCCUGCAUAGAUCAUUGAUGCUGAAUUGACAAUUAUGACUGUACUGAGGAGAUCAAGAAGAUGAACAAUCCCCAAUUAUGAGAGGCUCAGUAAAAGAUACCUUGCAGGGACCUUUUCAAUCAUUUCUUUGAUUGUAUCUAGUGGAAUAUUGUAGAAUUUUGGCUGCUUCAAUGGGGGUUCGCUCAAUGAUGAUUUCAUGUGCUAGUACGGAGCAAAACAAAGGGAGAGAAGUGAGAAAGGUGAGAAAGAAUGAUGAAGCUGGGAUUUUUGUAAGGGAUUGCUAAGGAAUAAGGAUUCUUUGAGUAUCCCAAACAAUCCUAGCUUCUCUUGCAUGAUGAUUUGGUUGUUCUCCAUCUCUUUUGUUGAUUUCCUCUAUUCCAUAUUUUCCCUUUUAAGUGUAGUGUCGUUCAGUAAAAGAAAGCUCAUUCACAGAUACUUGUGAAAAUGCCACCGUCAACAUGCUCCAAAAAAGUCUAGAGCAAAUCUCACAGAAGCCGACUUCCCUCCAGUGUUCACAUGUAGUAGAUGAAACUGAUAUCACACUUAAUUACUUUGAGGAGGAUGGAAAAUCCAAGCUCUUGGUUUGGUUCACAAUGCCCAGAGAUAGUCAGAUUGCUUUAGUUUCCAAUAAGGUUUGAAAUAUUGGUAAACACGGAUAUAUCAGUCCUUGAAUUUUAUGGAUGUAUCGAAAAUAUUGAAGAAAUAACGAUGGAUAUUUUGACAAGAAUAUCGAUUGAACAGAAAUUGUUCAAAUUCAUAAAAAUGCUUAAAAAACUUAUUUUAUAAAUGUAAUUGACAUAGGUAUAAACAUAAGUAUAAUUAAAGAUAAUAUUUAUCAAAUUUUUAUAAUAAAAAAAAUAGCUUAAAUUCCUUUAAUAUAUUCAUGUUCAUUUAUUUUAAAAUUUUAAAAAUAUUUUUAUUAAAAAAUGUUUUAGUAUAUUUUAAAUAAAAAAUUAAAUUGAUUUAUAUAAAAUAUUUUAUUUGAAAUUUAAUUUCUAAAAUUUUAUUACUUGUGGUGACAUUAAAAUUAUUAAAAUUAUAUUAAUAAUUUAUCUUAUCAAAUUAAUUUUAAUUUAUAAAAUAUUAAAAUUUCAUUAUUAUUAUUUUAUAUUUUAGCAAAUUUUGAAUUAAUUUGUAUUUUUAAUAGUUUAAAAUUAAAUAAAAUUAAAAGGAUAAAUAUAAAACAAUUAAAAGUGAAAUGAUAGUAAUUUUUUAAAAUAGGAUGUAUGAUUUUUUUUUAAAUAUUUAUAUAUUUUAUAUUUAAUUAUCAUAUAAAUGAUGUAAAAAAACUUGUUAAGAAAAUUCUAAUAAUGGUUUUUAUGUUUUUGGUAAUCAGUUAAAUAAAAUUUAAAAUAAAAUAAUUAAAAUUAAUUUAUUUAUUAAAAUUUUCUUCUAAUAAUAAAGUUUAAUAUAUUAAUAUGCAUGUUUAUUAACAAGGGCACACUUGCCCCAGUGGUGGCCAGACUAAGCCCCUAACAUUUGGGCCUGUUCGAACCCCCACGCUGCAAUUUGACCGAAGCCACAGCGCGCAAUGACCGGCAGAAAUAAAAGACCGACUUUGGGGUCACUGGUUACCAACACCGUAAACAACAUUACCUUGCUGGAGAAGUUAGCAUAGACUACAUCGAUUUGCAGAAGACUUGGAAAAUAUGUGGUCAUCCUCUACCUUUAGUCAUGCCAAUAGUCUUUGUGGGGUGUAUCUGACGUUUCUUGUUGAGGAAUCAACCUAAAGCUUUUCCCAUUUCUCCAACUAUUUUCUUCAAUCACAAUUUUUUAUAUUUGAGGUUGAAUAUAGAAGUUAGAACAUGAGGCUCUGGGGGGUGCUUUGAUUAUAAUAAAAUGGAGUAUCAACCCAAUAGUUUUUACUUCUGAAAACUCACUGCAAAUGAGUGGUGGGUGGUGGCAUGUUACUGGGUCUCUGCCUUGAACUGCACACACACCCGAGGGAGGGUCUUUCACCUUUCAUAUGACAGUAUGGGGUUUUUUCAUCCUGCUUAGUUAACAUCUGUUCCGCUGAAUGCGCUUUUAGAUCCACUGAUUGGAAAUCCAAGCUAUUGGAUUGGUUCACAAUGCCCUGAGAUUGGUUUAGUUACCAAAACCUUGUUCAGUAACACCAUCACCCCAUAGGACACAGGGAUAUAAACUGUAUCCUACUUGGCUUUCAAGCUUUUGCCAUUUCUCCUAUUAAUUCACAGAGUUGAAGAAUAUACUAGAGAAUUUCUUUCAUCAGUGACUUGGCCCCUAGCAUUGUAGGAGUAGUGGUUUGUACUAAAGUUUUGUUCUGAACAAUGUUUUCUGAUUAGAUGGUAAUUAAUUCAGGGCAGAAGAAUGCUGCUAAACAAAGGGAGAUACAAGGAAGGAGGGGCCUCGUGAAGUCAAUGUAGUCAGGUUAGACAACUUUGAAUAUCAUUCCACACUCUCAAAUAAUUAAAUGGAUGCAUGUGGUGGGGGUCCAAGAUAUGGUCCUUUGCAUGUGAUUUUCUGGCCCAUGUUUAUGACCUAUAACAUGUGGUUUCUGGGUAUGUUUUGAUUAUAAUAAAAGGAGCAUCUAUCAAAUAAUUUUUCUUCUGAUUCUCACCCAAGAUGUCUGGUGGGUGGAUGCAAUGGAUUGGGUCUCUGCCUUGAAAUGCGCACACACACCCUGGAGUAGGUUCUUUCACCCUUCAUAUAACAGCCAAUCAUGUACUGAUGUCCAUAUCAAAAUAUCUUGCCAUUUAGGACAUGAUGAACAGUCUCAAUACCCCACUUCUUGGUAGGCUAGUUUUAACAUUUUCUCUGGUUUCUUGAUAUAUUUAUAUCAAAGCACAGCAGACGCAUACAAAUUUUAGAGGAAAAUUAUAAAUAAUAGAAGACUUGAAAGCAAGACAGAGAUUGUAAUCUGUUUGGUUCUACAAGGAAGCAGAUUAUAGACUUAUUUUUCCAUGAUUUCUAUGCGCUUUUGUAAGAGAAUUCAUGACCUUCAAAAUCAUACAACCUCAUCAAACAGUAUUAGAUCUCAUUUUACAUAUUUCCCAUCUGUUACAGUAAAUGCAGUUGUGGAUCCACUAAUCCAGCCUCUAAAUCAACAACUACUUAAGAAUUUGCAUGAGUUGGCAUUCUGAACCAUAAAUUCAAAGCAUACUAACUUGAUAGAAAAUGUUUUUGCAGCAAAUAUGUGCCUUGUAGGAAAAUUAAUUUCAUAAAAGCAUACCAAGACCACAAAACCAAUCUGGAAUCAGGCAUUGUAUUUUACCUUGAAGCCUUUUUCAGUUUAUUUCAGAGCUUCAGCUGCACUCCCUUGCUCCACAUCAACCUUCUUCUCCAAAAACCGCCUUUUACAGUCAUAGAAAUAAACCAUGAAAGCCACCCACUUCAGCACAUUCCCAAAGCAAACUAAGCUAACUUGCACAGCCGUUACUACAAUUCCACUUCCUCCCUCAGACCAUCCCACAUACAGGCAUGAUAGUCUUAGAGCCAGCCUCCAAACAAAGAAAAUAAGCAUCAAGAAAAGGCCACGACGCCUGCAACCUCUGCUAACAUAUGCUGAGACCCCUAAUGCUAUAUCCCCUUGCUUCUCUUCCAAAACUGACAUCACAACACCCAUGUUCCAUAUAGCAUUCCACUCCAUGUGUUUUGGCAACCAAGCUAUGGAGAGCAGCAACCCAAAGAAGAUUGUGAUCAGGAUAGCUCUUGAUAUCAUGUAGAAUUGUGUUACCAAGGAAACCAAUCCAAGCAAAGAAAGGGAAGACAUUAGAAGAGCAUAAAUGGAUGUGAUCAAAGGCCCUUUAAGACUCACUCCUUCCAUGGAUCUGUGCCACCUCUCCUUUAGAUUCAUGCGCUUCUCUCCUGCAUAGAUCACUGAUGCUGAAUUGACAAUUACGAUUGUGCUGAAGAGGUCAAGAAGGUGAACAAUCCCCAAAUAUGAGAGACCCAAUAAAAGAUACCUAACAGUGACCUUUUCUAUCAUUUCUUUGAUUGUAUCUAGGGGAUCAAUCACCUGAUACCAGCAUAAUGACACACCAUUAUCACCAACGGAACAUGUUACUUUGUAGGAAUCUUCUUGUGGUCGAUAUUUGGCCGUUUCAAUGAGGGUUUGCUGGAAGAUGAUUUCAUGUGCUAGUAAAGAGCAAAACAAUGGGAGAGAAGUGAGGAAGGUGAGGAUGAUGAAGCUAGGAUUUUUGUAAAGGAUUGUUAAGGUUUCUUUGAGUAUCCCAAACAAUACAAGCUUCUCUUUCAUCAUAAUUUGGUUGUUCUCCAUCUUCUUUUUUUUAUUUCCUCUAUUCUAUGUUCUCCCUUUAAGCAGAGUGUUUUUCAGGGAAAAUAAAGCCUAUUCACAGAGUGGAAAUGGUCAACAUGAUUGAAAAGUCUUGUGGAAAAGUCACAAAAGCUGACUUGCCCACUAGAGUUCACAUAUUGUAGAACAUCAUUACCACACUAGAGACGUUAGCAUAAUUUAAAUCAAUUUGCUGAAGAACUUACACCAGAAGACUUGGAAAAUAGGUGGUCAUCCUUUACUUUUAAUCAUGUCAAUAUAUAAUUGUCUGUGGGUGCGUGACUCGUUGUGGGGUGUAUUUGAUGUUGCUUGUUGAGGGAAGCAGAAUAUCACAUUCAAAAAAUUAUUUUCAAAGUGCAUAGAACUAGGAUUCAACAAUGACAUUAACUUAAAAAAAAAAAAAAAGGUAAAUGGUGUUCUCAGAUUUGACGGGCUUAAAAAAAAACCAGCCCGUCAAUUAAGAUUUGACGGGCUUCAGUGAUGGUGUUCUCAGAUUCGAGGAAGGUGAUGGCUAGGGAAGUCAAUAUAAUGAAGUAGGACAACUUUGGCGACUUUGAAUGUCAUUUAUAGUUCACACUUUCAAAUAAGUAAAUGGAUAUGGUGGGGACCUAAGCUACAGUCCUUGCAUGUGAUUGGCAGGCUUGUGUUUGAAUAUAGAAGUUAGAGCAUGACCUAUUCCAUCUGGGCCCUGGGGGAUGCUUUGAUUAUAAUGAAAUGGGUAUCAAACCAAAAUAGUUUUUUCUUCCCAAACUCACCGCAAAUGAGUGGUGGGUGGUGGCAUGCUACUGGGUCUCUGCCUUGAACUGCACACUCACCCCAAGAAGGUUCUUUCACCUUUCAUGUGAGAAGUAAUCCAUUUGCAAUUUGGGAUAUGAUGAGUAGUCUCAAUACUCCACUUGUUGGGAGGCAAGUUUUUGACAUGUUAUCUUGUUUCUCAAUAUAUUUUGUGGGCAAUUACUUGCAUGAGAGUAUCUUAUUACCGAGAUCACAGAACUAAUCUGGAGGCUUGGCUAGUUACAUUUGGCAUUUUUGAGAAGCUUCAGCUGCAUUUCCUUGCUCCACAUCAACCUUCUUCACCAAAAACCGCCUUUUACAGUCACAAAUAAGCAUGGACGGAUCCAAUUCUACUCCCUCCUCCAGACCUUCACCUCCUCACCCAGAAUCAUGAUAAUUUUACAAAAAGCCUCCAAACAAAGGGGACAAACAUCAAGAGAAGCCAGCGUUGCCUGCUGCCUCUGCUAACAUAUGCUGAAUCCCCUAAUGCUAGAUGUCUAUGAGCACUCCACUUCAUGUAUUUUUGUUAUCUAAGCUAUGGAGAGCAGCCCAAAGAAGACAGUGAUCAAGAUAGCUCUUGAUGUCAUGCAAGGAAAACCAAUCCAAGUAAACACAGUCAAAUGGGUGCGAUCAAAGGCACAUUAAGACUCACCCUUUGAUGGAUCUGCAAAAUCGUUUCCUUAAGAUUCAUGGGGUUUGCCUCCUGUAUCGAUCACUGAUGCGGAGUUGACUAUUAAGAUCGUGUUGAGAAGGUCGAGAAGAUGGACUAUACAGUCUAUACCCAAAUAUAAGAGACCCAACAAGAGAAAUCUUUAAGAAACAAUUCGUUUCUAUCCUUUGAUCCUACCUACUGGACCAUGAAUUCAAACAAAGCAUGAUCCCAGGAAACAAAUAUGAUGCGGCAAGAAGCAUGGCACAAAACUAGAAUCAUGACAAUCAUAACGUGUUAGAAUUGUAGUCAUUUCAAUAAGAAUUUUCUGGAAGAAGAUUUCCUGUUUUAAGCACGAAACAGAACAAAGCAUGAGACAUUAGUAUGCCAAGUCAAUUUUAUGAAUAUAAUUGUCAAUUUUCUUUUCAUAAACAAAAACCUAAACCAACUAAAAAUAGAAGGAAAAGCUAAACACAGAAAUAUGACCUGUUUUCUUUGGUUUCUCUGAACAACAAUGAUUGGUAGAAUGUAUCAGAUGGGAACAUGUGAACUUUAAACAGCUUCAUUUUCUUAAAGCAGACAACAGAAGAUCUGUAAGACUGGGCUUUUUGCUGACGAUCCCAUGUGUAAGAACACCAUCAAUGUAAGAUUUUUGGCAAUUGCGGUUGGCAUAUGCAAGAAGGCCAGUCAGUUAGAAGGUGUGACUAGUAGGUGUAUGCAGAGAUGUAGAGAAACCAAGUUACAGGAGAAACCCGAGACUGACAGGGAGCUAUUUUGCUGUUAUCAGUGAAUAGAAGGAUCAGAAGGUGCCUUCCCCAAACCAGACAAGGAACAAAAUGAUAAUAAAAUGGAAAAUAAACAAGUUGUUGAGCUCCCAAACCUUCAUGAAGAGAGCAUCUUGUGCACACGCAAGGAGUCCCAAUAGCUUCCAUAUUUUGCACCUUUUUUACAGAAGAGGGAAGAUGUAGAGAAGACAUUCCGAAUUGAACAAAGCAGCAGGGAUUUCUUGCAAGAGGAUGAACACUUGAAAAUGUCACAUGUGGGCAAAACUUUUAAUAUGUACUCUUUAUAUGUGAUUCGAGCAUCUUAAGGACAGGAAGCUGACUGGAAUAUGGUGAAAAGAAAGGAAACAUGAAUGCUAAUUUCAUAAAAAUAUGCAUGUUCAGUGAGGAACAGCAAGCAUACAAGAACCACAACUCAACUCAAACAAGAAUGCAUGGAUAGAGAAUAUUAAGAUAUCCCUCAAGCCACUUAUCCCAAUGUCAAUGAGCUAAGAAGAUUGUGACAGAGAUGCACGAAAUGGCAAUUAGACUGUAAUGUAAAAUAGGAAUAUGGUUCUCCAGGAUUCAGUAAGCAGAACAUAGUAUUCCCAAGAAACGCAAAACUAAAGCACCCCAUUUUAGCAAACAUCAUUGUAGUUGUCAGUCACCCAUAUGAAAAGCCAAGUCUUUUGAUAGUCAUGCGGCAAAAGAUUCAUCAGGCAUAACAUGAACCUUGUUUCCUGGCCUGAUCUGAUUAGUAUUAUAACAUCAUCUGCUUCAGCUUCAGGUCUGAGGCAGAUCCCUGUCAAUGAAACUUCAUGAUACCAGCAAUUGGAAUUAUAUAAUCUUUUUCCUAGACUUGCCUGUCUGAUCACACCUUACGAGAGAAUCACUCAAAAGGGAAAUAUAUUCACAGAAGCUUCAGGGGCCAUACAGUGAAAGAUUCCCUGAAGCUAGGACCGAAAGCUGAAGGGAAAGAGUGUAAAGAGCAAUCCUGGCUGUGAACAACCCUCCCACCAGCCUCUCUUUCAUCCCUUAAAAGAAUUAAAGGGAAGCAUCAUGUGAGUAUUUUGUGUGACUUUGGCAAAUGAAAUCCUGCUCAAAACCAAGUCAUAAGUGCAAGAUCCAUCCAAUAAUAGAACCUAGCACAGAUCAAGAUUUACCAAUGGACCCAACAUCAGGUACAUUGAUUUAGUAAGUUUGUUCAUCCAAGUUGUGCUACACAGUCCAAAUUGGGACAAAUAGGUUAUUAAUACACCAUAACAGAACAUCUUUUGGUGGUUUGGAUGGAUUCUAAUAAUGGAUUUUUCUCCUUCAAAGCUCUUUAUUCUGCAUCGGAGCCACACUGUUCAACUCAUUGGACGGGGCUGGACCGGUCCAAUCGCCAACUUGUGGCCUUUUCAGUUUGGUCCCUCACUUAAACCAUUUUGUGGCCACAAAUCAAAACGCCUAAACCGACGGUUCCAUGAACAGGUUCAAUGGCCCCUUUCCUUUUUUAUUCAUUCAAAUCCAAGCAAAAGGCCCAUGUUCCAUUUUAGGCAAAAGGCCAGCCUAUGUAUUCACUCAGUGGGCUGCGACUGGGUGAAAGAAAAACUAACUGCACCUUAAGCUUGACAAAGGACAUGGCACCACUUGACUACAAACUUUUUGUUGUUUGUCAUGGCAAAUGAAAAUUUCUAUAUUCAUUUCUAAAAUGAUUUAUAAUAUAAAAAAAAAAUAUAAUAUUUCCUAGAAUUAUAAAAUUAGUUAAAAUUAAAUAAGUAAAUUUUCUUCUUUUUUCCCCUAAUAUAUUCACAUGUAAAUACUAAUAUUUGAUAAUAUCACAAAUAAAAAAUAAAUAUUAUUAAAUUUUAAUUUAUAUAUAUAUAUAUAUAUAUUAAAUAAUAAAAUAUAUUAAUCACAUCAUCAAUUUUACAGUUUAACCAUUAAUCUGAUCAUUAAAUCGUGAAUCGAUAAUUUUUCGAUAAUCCGAUUUUAAAAACAUUACUUUUCACAUUUACCCUUGAUAAGAAGAAUUUGGUUUGGGUUAUAAUGACUGGUUAAAAUAAAUGAAAUUGCAUGAAAAGUAUUCAAUCUUUUGGCUUACAUUCCUCUGAAUGAGAUGAGAUGUGCUUCUGAUCAAGAGUGAGGGCUAGGGGUUUAGGAGACCUGCAGACAAGCCUCUACAACCCUAACAAGCAAUAACGAGCUCAACAUUGCAGUUUCUUCUCGCAAACAGUCAAGGACAAAGGAGCAACUUCAAUUUCCUCUUGUUUGGUUGCCUGGAAAACUGAAAAUGGUAAACAAAAUUAUAAAAUAAAUGGGUUUAAUUUUCCCAACAUGUCUUAUUCUAGUUUAUUUUUUAUAUAUUUCCUAAACUGGAAAAUUCACAAAUUUUAAAGCAAAUUUCUGUAUAAAAAUAACCCAAAUAAAAUGGGAGUUUAUAAAAAUAUUUAUUUUGAAAGGAAAAAUUUUACCGCACACUUAGUUUUGUUAUAAGAUUGUAAAGUUUAAAGUUGAAUAUUGAAUAUUUGGAUAAAAAUUUAGAUUAAAUGAAUUGAAAGGAAGAAAUAUAACUUAUAUAACACCAAUUUUUUUAGAAUUAAUGUAACGUUAUUGUAAUGAAUGUAAAGGUAUUAAGAGUCUGCUUGAUUGUAUUUUCAAUUGAAAUGUUUAUAGUGAAUGUAUUUUUUUCUAGUGUUUUUAGAAUGGAGAACACUUUAAAUCAUUUUUCAAUAUUAUAAAUAAUUUUUCAGAAUUUUAAAAAAAAAUUCUUAAAUUUUGCUAGACAACUACUUAAAAAAGAAAAAAGAUUAAAAAUAUUUUCUAUAAUCAAUAUCAAACGUGCUCCAAUAGUUUUCAUACAAAAAUACAACCAAUCAUCUAUGUAAGUUGGUUCUCCUCAAAAUGCGUUAAGUGCAAUGGGUGCUUAUACAUUUAAGGGUAAUGCAAUAUUGUGUUGCAAGCAGUGAGAACGAUACUAAAGCGAGACAAACUCUAAAUACUACAUUUGACCUCAAAAGGUCAUGGUGAACUUUGAUGGGAGCUUCUUUUGAAGCAAAAAGGUGUUAAUCUAAUUUUUGACUGAGCCACAAAGGAUUGCAUAAAUUAAUUAUAUUAUAACAAUAAGCUUCAAUAUGAGAAUUUUAAACUAAUAAAAAAACAUGAAAUUUAGUAUUUAAAAUUUCUUAUAUGUAUAAAUGAAUUUUUAAACAUUUUCAUCAUUUUUUAAUAGUUUCUACAUAAAAAAUAAAAUAAAAAUAAAAAUUAAGGUAAGGAUAUUUUAUUUAGAGUUUGACUUCAUUGAGUUGGUUUUAUACUAUUUAUUGAAAGAGUAAUUAAAGACUUUUUGAAUAGGUAGACGGUCAACUUCAAUUAUAAAACAUCUUUUUUUCUUUUUCUUUUUUGAAGUUACUAUUUGUAUGGGUCUAGAAGGUACCAUUGAGUUUAUAAAAAACAUGAGGUAACAUAGUUAAAUAUUCUUUUUUUUUUAUAUAUAUAUACAUAUAUAAAAUAUUAUCAGCAUUUGACAAAUUUAUAUAUUCUUUAUAUAAUUAGGUUGCAUCCCUUAUUUGGUAUGAUUUUUUUUUAUUUUCUCAUAAAAAAAAUGUAAUAUAUGAAUUAUUUAACAUUUAUUUGACUUUUGUAUUUGAUGUCUAAAAUUAACACAUGAUAGAGAAAGAGAACGACAAAUAAUGAAAAAAGAUAAAAAGGGAAUAAUUUCUCUUUCAUACAUCAAUUCAAGGAGGAUCUUAGUUCGAAUAAAAAAGAGAUCACGAUAAAGAUAAGCACGAGCAUACACAAUUUUAGGGUAAACAACCUUUAUCAUGAAAAGAAUGAGAAAUAAUUGAAACGACCAAUCAAAAAACUAAAAAAAGAAAAAGAAAAAAAGAGUAGUUAUUGUCGUUUAUAAAACUACAUUUAAGCAAAAGUUUGACCUUAGAGUUAUCAAGAAAAGUUUGGAGAUUGAGUAAAAGAAUUGUCACCCCUCACAUCAAUCCAUUAAUAACAUUAUUUACAAUAUUUGUACGCUUUAAGUUUGGAUAAGUCUAAGCUAGCACCUUACGUACCAUAGUCAAUCCUUUAGGUUUGUGCAUUAUUGGCAUACCACAAUAACAUGCUCAAAUUUGAUAAGCUUAUAAUAAAAUAUUAGUAUGUUCUCUAUAAAAAAAAUUUUAGUACUUGUUUUAAAAACACUCCCAAAUGAAUUGUAUUAACUUGUUUCCGCUCGUAUAGUUUGUUUGUAUUAGGUUUGAUGAAUCCUCGUGAUUUUAAAUUAAGUGAAACUCAUUACAUAUAUAGUGUUAAUUUUAUUUUAUUUUUUUCUAAUUGAUGUGGGUCAUCACAUUCACGUCUCAUAUAAAACAUAUCUUCAUUGUGUUUUACAUAUUGUAAGGUCACUUAAACAAAUAUCCAUUACUCAAUCAAACAAAAUCCCACACAAGGUUAAAUCCUAUUUAUGUAUUCAAAAGAAAUCCAUUACAUUUAUAGUAAAAAACUUCUUCUUAUAAAUUAAAAAUGUUUCUAUCAUAAUCACUUCAUAUUAACUCAAAUGUCUUUUCAGGAAUAAUUUAUUCAAAAAAUGAUUCCGACCCUUAAAAAGCAAUUUUCUUAUAAAAUACAGAUGUAAAUAAUUUUUAUGAAUCUAGAGCAUCACUUAAAAAAGAGUCACACAAGCAUCAUCCCUAAACAAGUCCAAAAUCAGAUGUUUGACAACAACUAAAAUAGAAAGUAGGCAAAACUUUAUUAAUAUUUCCACAUUUGUUUAUGAAAGAUUACUUACAUAUAAGUUGAAUUAGACCCAUUGAUUAUGUAUUCAAUUCAUUAACCAACACCCCCAAUCGCCACAAAUGGCAGCUAAUCAACAACCCAUCAACCAAAAAAUGAAAAAAAAAAAAAAAUGUUCCCAUACAAAAGGAUUGUCUAGAAAUCAACUGACGCAAUACCAUCCAUUUUCAUAUCCUUCAAUUCUUGAUUAUAGUUUGUCUCAUAACGCUACUGCAAUUCAUCAUCCUAACUAGCCGGCCAUCUAUUUGUAAUGCUUCUAUAUCAAGGGAUUUGUCUCUUCUGUGAGUGAAUCUUAGAAGUUGCAAACACGAAUUAAUUCUUGGGCACCUGCGGCUGCCCACAUGCCCCUCAUACUUAGAUUAUUCUAACUCGAAUCUGAAUCUUGACAAAUCUGACCCUCAUGACAAAUCUGAAUCUUUGAUCAUGUGAAAUUAAUAGGAAAAGUCUUCUGCAGACUGGAUCUCUUGAGGGGUGGUGGGGUGGUGUUCAUCAAUCAUAUGGACUUUCAGCCCCCAUAUUUUUUUAUAUACAUAUGAUUGGGGUGACUAAUUCUGUUUGUUUAUGUAUAAUUCAGCAGCUGGCCCAUCUGUGGGAGCAGAAUAAACCCGGAUUCUAUGGGCUCUAUCCAUCUUCUUCGGGCCACCAACAGUAUCAAACUAUAUUGUAUGAUUUGUCAUGGCUUUCCUAUAGCUGGUUUUUUUAAUUAUAUUAUGGUAAUCCCACAUAAUGAAAUGACCAACUUUUUAUCUGAAUGAUAUUAUUAAUUACUAAGCAUCUCACCCGAUUCUACCUAAUCUUGGCUUGUGUAUGGGUUCGGGAUCUGUUCUAAUAUUAUUUAAGUUUAUAUAUAUAUAAUGUUAGGAACUUUUUUUUUUUUUUCUUUUGAGUAACGGGGAAGAAGAAAUGAAAAUCAAGGCAAGAGAUUUUGACUGGCAUCCUCCCUAUUACACAGUGGCGGAGGAAUAUGUAAACAGUAUAUCCAACUAGAAACCAUAGUCCAGAGAUAUUCUCUCCACCGCAGAUUCCAAAAGCCUCAAAACGAAACAAGAAAAGAAAAGUGAAGUUAGGACACAGAAAAGGACAUGAAACCAGUAGUGGCAAAGUGGAAGCCCACUCACUCUCAAAAAGGCAAUGUGGCACUGACCGAAGCUUCUUGGGGCUUUCUGGGUGUAUAUGGAUUAUUGGACACUUGUUCUACUCCUCUCCACAUUUGAAUGAUGGUGAUGUCUUCCCUCAUCCUUCACUUUCUCCUAAUCUUCUUUCUAAUCCCAUCACCAAUAUUUUCUUUAUAUCUCUCAUAAAUAUCAUUUUGGAGGGGACCAAUCUCGGUGGUGUUAACUCAAAACCCAACCCUCUAUGCUAAAUUUUCAAACACUUGAUACAAUGAAAAAAUAGGUCUUCAAAGUUUAAAACUCCAACAAGGUGGUAAUGGGUUUGGUGUGUAGGUGAUUUUUUUUCAGGUAAAACAUCCAUCACGUGCAGAGACUUAUGGGAUUUUUCAAGGGAGUUUCAAGUGGAUUUCAUGGGUCCCUUGUAUGUUCUCGCAUAUUAUAGGACCGAGGAUGCCCAAGAUCGGGAGAAAUGGGGUGAUGGGUCCAUGUCACCUAGGAUUUCUCCAUUUAUUUUUAUUUUUAUUUUUGUGGGUUCUAACAUUAAGCAUCGUGUUGAAAGAUAAGAAUUAGCGACCCCCAUGUGCCAAGAAAAUGUGAAUUAUUGAAGGCAAUUUGGAACAUGUUUUAAAAUUGAAAUAUUCCGUGUGCAGCUCAUCUUGUGACUGGUUAAGGACAUCACGCAUUCUGGUGGGCAUUGCCUGGGUUUACCUGGAAGUGGUUUAAAGGGUACAGAUGACCCCACCAUACUGUAGACAGCAUUUGAAGGAUCAUAUUGUAACUCUCUUUUUUGUUCUUGCUCAAAUGCCCUCGUCAUUUUAAAACGUGUCUACGUAAUUAAGUAAAAUCUAUUGCAAAUAGCGUUAGAAGCUUUUUCUCCUAAUUGAAGAAAUCAUACGUACUCUUUAAACAAGUUUUCGAAAUGAAGUCAAAAUACUUUACGUAUUUUAAAAAAAUGUUUUUUUGUUGUCCAAAUAGAAUUGACUCUUGAUAGGAGCAUUUAUCUUAAUUAAUUAGGAAGACAAAUUCUAGUUGAACUACACCAUGUGUGGUAGAAAAUGUGAUUACAAAUUUACAUGUAUGGCUCAAUUUUCUAAUCAUACAGUUUCUUGACUGUAUUAAACAAUGACAGAAUUUAGGCCAAAACAAGUGAAAAAGAAAAAGGCACAACAUUUUUCUGAUUUCAAAUCAGUUCCCCGUGAAGAAAGGUAUAAGAAUAAGAAUCAAACCCUCUCAAUUUUCAUUUACCUUUAAGCUUUUUAUCUGGUACAAGACUCAUGGGAACAUUUUGAACUGGACAAAUGAAUACAAACCCAUUUCUGAAAAUUCAAAGGCAGCCUGAAUCUACGGUCCAAUUGCUCCAAACCCAUUUUUCCCUAGUAAAUUCAAAGACAACAACCAAACACUGUGGGCCAAUUCCUCCAUGCCCUCUUGCCAACGGUGGGUUUUCUCUGCUUUGAAGUUGAUAAAUAAGGCAUUCAAUUAUAAUAACUAAGAGAAAAUGGCCAUACAAAAAAGAAUACCAAACUUUUGGUGCUAGGUGAGUCAAACUCCAUUAUCAUCUGCAACACGUGUUUUAGAAAAAUACUUCAUAGAAAGCAACUGCUUCAUUUUCGUUGAUAAGUAAGAAAGCCAGUAGGUGAUAACUGAUGAGCAAGAGCCUUGUUCUUGACCAGAAACUCGUAAUAAAACAAGAGACUUUGGCCUUUCCAAAAAGCUUAAAAUAGGAGGUGUGGCGGCUGACACUUGUGUGAUCAGCAGUCUCCUCGCAGAGAUGGUCCUUGAACAGGCUUAAAUCCUCCAUCACAAAUUUUUACAAUUUGAAAAGAUAUUUUCAAGUGGUUAAGAUAAUAAAUGCCUUACACUCUUACUACCAAACAAAUGUUCAGUUUGUUGAAAUUUUAUUUUAUUUUGUUUUAUUUACAAAAAAUUCAUUUUUUGACUACCAAACAAGCUCUUUAAAGCUUAUUAAUAAUUGACAAGAGGUUUCUUGUUUUGAUUUCCUUCUAUGAUUAUUCAUUUAUUAUCCUCGCUUAUCAUUCAGACUUGUUUCUAGCAGGUGGGCUCCGGAGAAGUGGGUCAAAACUGGUUGGAGUUGCUGAGUUGAGUGUCUCACUUGGUGUUUGUUUCAGUAGAAGUUUAAUAGGCAUAUUAGAAUAUUGAUUAAGGGGCAUAUCAGCAAGAAAAGUAGCUUUCAGUGGUCAGUGUUGGAUGUCAAAGAAUAUCAGUAGGAGUAGUGCUUGCUGGUUUACAGAGCACUUCCCAAUCUACAUUUUUAUCUCUUCAGACAACCCAAUUGUUGGAGUUAACCCCUUCUCUGAAAAUUUAAAAAAUAUUCCUUCUUUUUUUUUUUCUUCUUCUCUGAAAGGAAUUCAAGGAAACAGUGUCUUUUUCUCUCCCCAGGCACACCCAUAUUAUUCUAAUCUACAGCUCCAAUUCCAACCACCAUCCUCGUUUCAAAUACCAUUCUCUGUAUCCGUUUGUGGUGUUUCGUGUUUGCUCUUCGUGUGUCUCCAUUGGUGGUACUUGAAUUGCCCUCCCCACUCUCAUAAAAACAGUGUCUUAUCCUUUCUGAGAAUUUAUUUAGUUGCUUCUCCUUUUUGUUUUUUUUUUUUAGUUUUUGAAAGUGGGGAGAGUGUGAAUUCAUCUGGUUCAUCUUUGUUUCUCUCGCAACCUGAUUGGAAUAUGGGUUUUUCGUGGUUUUGAGGGAGCUCAUCAUGGAUCUGGAACGAGUAAACCGAAACGGUCGGACCAAGGUGAGAAGGGUGUGUCCGAGUGUGGUUAAGAGGUUCUUUGAAAUCUCCGCCGUUGUUUUUUUUGGUUCAUGUUGUUGUUCUCUUUUUGUUGCAGAGGGAAUCAUGGAGGACAGUGCUGACCCUGGCUUAUCAGAGCUUGGGUGUUGUUUAUGGAGAUUUAAGCACUUCUCCUCUCUAUGUGUACAAAAGCACUUUUGCAGAGGAUAUUCAUCAUUCAGAGACAAAUGAGGAGAUUUAUGGGGUGUUGUCUUUCGUAUUCUGGACAUUAACAUUGAUACCACUCCUCAAAUAUGUGUUUAUUGUGCUCAGAGCAGAUGAUAAUGGUGAAGGUGGGACUUUUGCUUUGUAUUCAUUGCUCUGCCGGCAUGCCCGGGUGAACUCAAUACCCAAUUGCCAGCUUGCUGAUGAGGAACUGUCCGAAUACACAAGGGACGGUUUUGUAUUGCUCGAUAAAAAUUCUGGUUCAAGCCUGAAAUCGACAUUGGAGAAGUAUAGAGUGUUGCAGAGGGUAUUGCUUGUUCUGGCUUUGAUUGGGACUUGUAUGGUUAUCGGGGAUGGAGUCCUCACACCUUCAAUUUCUGGUAUUGGAUGUUAUGUGUUUGUGGUUUUAGGUCUAAAGUUGGAAGGUUGGGAUGCUAAUAUGUGAUUAUUUUGUUUUGUUGUGAUAAUUUCUGCAGUUUUUUCGGCAGUGUCGGGUUUGGAGCUUUCAAUGUCAAAAGAGCAUCACCUAUGUAAGUUCUGAUUCUAUUAUUCGCCAAUAUGUUAUUCCACAUCAACAAUCAUUUUAAUGUCUGAAGAAUAAGAAUUCCUUGUGGUGAAGGUGGAUGACUGUCAAGUAGAUCCUCUAAUUGAAAAGGUUACUAAUGUAUUUCCUAGGUGUCAAAUGUAGUUGCCCUCUUAGGCUGCUAAACUACUUGUCCUAAACUCCAUCUCAUCACAAGUAGGUUGGAAAACCAGAUGUUUGAGGUUGUUAGGUAAUCAAGAAAGCCUAGAUCAGGUUCACUAAGGCACAAAACAUGUGGGUGCUAAGUGACACGAUUUUCUUUUAUGGCCCGUCUCUUAGGUUUGUUUGAAGUGCACUUAGAAAACUGUUUAAUCAUCUUCAUCUUAUUCAUGCUGUGAAACGAGGUGGUUCAUAAUUAGGUAUCGAUAUCUUGACUUUAUCAUCAACCAUUCAGAACCUGAAUUUUAUUUACAACAAGCUUUUUGUACCGAUAUUGCGGUUAGUGGACAAAGAGAGGUUACCAAAUUGUAAUAGAAACAUGCAUUAUUGUGGGUCCCUAAAAGUAUAACUAAGACAAAACUUUCCUGCUUUAAUCAAAGUCAAAUCACUAUCAAGCCAAUAAAAUAAAGAUGGACUCCAUGGUGUGGAAGGCCAAAUUGAUGACAACCAAUAUAUUUAUAAUAGAUCAAGGAUGUAACAGGAGGUCAAGAAUAGAACUUUAAUUUCAUAAAUUAUAAGAUGAAAUAGGUAAAGUUAUGCUUUUUUAUAAAGUUGGUUCAGUCAUAAUAAACUGAAGCAAAAAGUAGUUUAGUAGGGAAAUGGAUGUGAGGCAAAAAUGUAUAUAAUACUCUAGUUUUCUCAGCAUACUUAUCCGAAUAGUGGCAGUGAUGAAGCAUAGGCAUUUUUAGAGCAGUCAAUUGAGGUAGAACCAUGAUUGGAGUUCCCUAUGGAUAAAAACAAUCAUGACUAUGGCAUCAGCCACACUUUGACCUGUUAUGACCAAGUUGUGGUGGUGAAUGAACUACUUGAAUGAAGCUGGUAUCAUCAUUGUUUGAUCAAUUGGUGAACACGAAUUUGGUGGUCCAAUGAUCUCCUUUAUGGUUGCUACUGGAAAUUUCCGAAGAUCUUUCAUUAUAUUUCAUUUUCUAAGGCUCCACUAGUCAUUCCUUUUUUCCUUUGUUUCUGUCAUAUAUAUGACUUACUUGCUAGUCAUGAUUUCCAUGCUUUAUUUUUAUUUGGUUUUUUUACACUUGUGGGGCCUAUCUGCAGUCCAUGUUUAAUUGCCAUCCUUUGCUACUAAUGGGAAACAUAUCCUUUGAGGCCAUUUGAUGAUAUUUUUCAACUAUGACUUGGGGCAAACAUAGACAGGAAGUUCAGGCUGGCUGUGGGUGUGCUGCUUCAUAUACUCAUAAUUUAUGCUUGUUAGCUUACCCUAGUUUUGAGGAGAUGCCAUCAACUCAAGACUUGGUUUUCUUUUCCUACCGGUUUAACCUAAAUAAUUAACAUUUUCACCUUUAACAAGUUAAGUUAGAGAUGAUUGUUUGAUGAAUUCUGUAUCAAGUUUGCAUAAAUCCACUUAUAAAAUGGGAUAAGUUACCUUUCAAACAGUACUGAUUUUCCUUUCUUUUGAAAUCUAUGCAGAUGUACAAGUUCCAGUUGCUUGUAUAAUACUGGUAUUUCUGUUUGCUCUCCAACAUUAUGGGACUCACAGAGUAGGCUUCCUGUUUGCGCCAAUUGUGAUAACAUGGCUUUUAUGCAUCAGUGCAAUUGGUUUGUACAACAUCUUCCACUGGAAUCCCUGUGUUUAUCAAGCUCUCUCCCCAUACUACAUGUACAAAUUUUUGAAGAAGACCCAAAGGGGAGGUUGGAUGUCAUUGGGUGGAAUUCUCUUAUGCAUAACAGGUGGAAGAGAUGUGCAUACUCUGUACACUUGCCAUUUAAGCAAUCGGCUCAUUUUUCUUUCUAAUUCAAAUUGUUUUGGCAUUUCAGGUUCAGAAGCUAUGUUUGCAGAUCUUGGACACUUUUCCCAGUUGUCAAUCCAGGUACAUAGGCUUGGUAAUUUGGUUCAAUGACUAAAGGGGACUUUAUGCCUCUGUCAGUUUAUACAUAGAAUAGGAUUAAUAAGCUAAGUUUGAAGGCCUUCUUUUUUCUUCGAAAAAAUACUCCUAUAUUUUGAAAUAAAACCCUGUGUUUCUUCUAAAUCAAGGUAAAUUCGAGUUGACAAUUCACAUCCCACAAUGCUCAUUAGAUUCCUGCAUUUUGCCAAUAUGAUCUGUAACAUGGUCACCUCUCAAGUUCAACAAUUGAUUGUUUUCACUCUAAUAGGAUCCGUGAAAUUUUGAUUAGAUAGAUUCAUCAUGCGAUGGUUUCAAACUGCACAAUUUUGGAUGUUAACUGCAUCUGAUUUUUAGAAAUCAGGUCGGGCACUGAUGUCGACCAUAAUUAGUAUUUCUGUGUAAAAUGAUUUGAUUUCUCCACUAGAGAAAAAAAAAAAAGGAAAAAUUAAAGCAACUUUUUUAAUCUAAAGCUAUAUUCUCUGCAGAUUGCUUUCACGUUUGUGGUUUAUCCAUCCUUGAUCCUCGCAUAUAUGGGACAAGCUGCUUAUCUUUCCAAGCAUCAUACUAUUGAAAGCGACUACCAUAUUGGGUUCUAUGUAUCUGUGCCUGGUACGGGGUUUUACUUUCUGUAUAGAGAACAGCUACUUUUAACAUGAUAUUAAGUUUGAGGUUUUAGCUAAUUAUUGGUACUGUUUUUCUUGUGUUAGAGAAACUAAGAUGGCCUGUUCUGGGAAUAGCGAUACUUGCUGCAGUAGUAGGAAGUCAAGCCAUCAUCACAGGGACGUUCUCGAUCAUCAAACAAUGUUCUGCUUUGGGUUGUUUCCCGAGGGUCAAAAUAGUCCAUACGUCAUCUAAAAUACAUGGCCAGAUUUACAUUCCAGAAAUCAAUUGGACGUUAAUGUUAUUAUGUUUGGCCAUCACUGUUGGUUUUAGAGACACAAAACGCUUGGGCAAUGCAUCAGGUAGUAUCCACAGUCUAAGUUAUUUUUUAUUUUUUAAGUUACUUAUUUGCCAUUUCUGUGUACUGGUUUACAUUUUCUCCUUUUCUUCUGGAACAGGUUUGGCAGUUAUAACUGUGAUGCUGGUAACCACCUGCCUAAUGUCCCUAGUUAUAGUCCUCUGCUGGCACAAAAGUGUCAUCCUAGCUAUUUGCUUUAUAUUCUUCUUUGGCUCCAUUGAAGCGCUCUACUUCUCAGCUUCUCUCAUCAAGUUCCUUGAAGGGGCUUGGGUUCCCAUUGCCCUCUCGUUCAUCUUCCUAAUGGUUAUGUAUGUUUGGCACUAUGGCACACUCAAGAAAUAUGAGUUUGAUGUUCAAAGUAAGGUAUCUAUUAACUGGCUGCUUGGCUUGGGUCCUACCCUAGGAAUUGUGCGGGUGAGGGGCAUUGGUCUCAUACACACUGAGCUUGUAUCUGGGAUCCCAGCUAUUUUCUCCCACUUUGUCACAAACCUCCCAGCUUUCCAUCAGGUUUUGGUCUUCCUUUGCAUUAAAUCUGUUCCAGUGCCUCAUGUGAAACCUGAGGAGAGGUUCCUUGUGGGAAGAGUUGGGCCAAAGGAAUACCGACUCUAUAGGUGCAUUGCAAGAUAUGGUUAUCGUGAUGUUCACAAGGAUGAUGUGGAGUUUGAAAAAGAUCUUGUUUGUAGUAUUGCAGAAUUCAUCCGGUCAGAAGGGCCUGAAUAUGAUACACCACUUGUCCAAAAAGAAGAAUUUGGCACAGGAAUUGAAGGCCUGGAAAAGAAUGAAAGAAUGACUGUUGUUGGAACUUCUUCAACACAAUUAGAUGGUAUAAAACUGCGUGAAGAAUCAGACUUGUCUGAUACAGUGGGCACUUCAGAGCUGAGGGAAAUAAGGUCCCCAGAGAGGCCGAGGAAGAGAGUGAGAUUCGUUUUGCCAGAUAGUCCACAGAUUGAUAGAGCCGCACGGGAGGAGCUGCAUGAACUGAUGGAAGCCAGGGAGGCAGGGAUGGCGUUUAUACUGGGGCAUGCAUAUGUGAGGGCGAAGAGGGGAUCAAGUUUGAUAAAGAGAAUUGUAAUUGAUAUCGGAUAUGAUUUCUUGAGGAGGAACUCUAGAGGCCCAAAUUAUGCGCUAAGCAUUCCUCAUGCAUCUACUCUGGAGGUGGGGAUGAUCUACCAUGUUUGAUUUUGAUUAUAGAGUAUAGUAGUGUAUUCAAUGAUUUUCUGAGUCAUUGUAUAUGAUAGUUUAAAAGCUUUUUUCAAAAUGCCAUCUUAUAAGGGUUCCAAGCAGUUGGUCCAAGAUUUGAUUUCUUUGGAAAAUAUUAAGACUAGUGAAAGAAACUCUUGUAACUCCUGCACUGUCAUAGUCAUGCCCAAGCAGUCUGAUCAUAGCGAUUUACUUAUUGAGAACUUCCAAUUUUGUUAAAAAUAUGGCUAUUAGGCCUAUACAAAAGUUUACCAGAAUGAAGAAUGCUUUCUCUGAAUGCUUAGCCAUUGUGAGUAAUGAGCAAAUGAGUGACUGCAGAUGCAUGUGAUUUAAUCGAAGGGUGUCAUCCAGUGCCAAUGUUCAAGUUCAACCAGUUUUGUGAUGUUCCAAUUUGGACAAUUUUCUUAGAGAAGGAAUGAGAGGAAGAAACUACUUGCCAUAUUGCAGCAACCAUCACCCAACAGAGACCCCAGUUUUGAGCCUCGGCAACUUUUGAACUUUAACAGCUCAAUGUGGGCUAGAUUUACUUGGAAGCAUUUCUCACCUUUCCUUUCUUUAAGAUUGUUUAGAAGUUAAUGAAAUGGCAGUGUCAUAUGAUUGUGUAGCCAUGACAAGGAAAGGGACAAAUGUCAUGCGGGGCACAGUGCCCAAAAAAAAGUAAUUGAUUUGAGAAAGAUGGUCUCUAUAUCACCUUGCAGCAAAGAAUGGCUACAGAAUCUAGUUUCCCUACCAUUGGAGGUAAGCUGGAGACAAAAUUUGAUUUUUCAUGAAUCUGGCCUUUUUUUUUUUUCUCCUUAAUUUUUUUCCCAAGUGGGUUUUGGUAGUGAUCUGUCAAAAUGUUGUUAAAAUGAACACAAGAAACACUAUUUGAUCAAAGUUAUUGGCCUAAGAGAUCAUGAAUGCACAGGGUUAUGUGAUAAAAAUAAUGCAAAAGAAAGGUGGUAAUGAUGACAAGAUUGAGGGAGCUACUGAUCUUCAUGAUGUAUGCUGCAGACCUUAAUGCUUUAAAGAAAUCAAGAGACCAAAUCCGUCAAAGAAAGAGAGAAUUACACCAACUUUCACUCCAUUUGGCACAGGAUAUCUGCCGAAGAGCACAUGAUGGAUAAGGAAAGAAACAAAAAGAGGCACUAAAACAGACACCAAGUAAAGCAUCAAAGAGAAAAAAAAACAGAAUUAGAAUAAGUAAAAGAUUAGAGAGUCAUCAAAAGGGAUGAGUGAAGCCACUCACCUUUAUUCUUGCAAACAAAUUUGUUCUAUGCACCACUUCCUACCCAUAAACCCACAAGGCCACAAUGCGGGAAACUCUCAGACAUGUCCAAAACUGCAUCUCAUUGGGUGAUGUACUAGCAUAUGGGUUUGUUUUGCCUUCAACAAUCAUACUAAAUACUCUUUGGGUACUACUCAUUUUUUUACCAAUGAGCAUUCCUCUAAUUCAGAAUCCAUUGUUGGCCCUAUGAAGUAUAAUUUUGUAAUUUUACCUGCAGAUAAAUGAUAUUUCAUAUGGUAAAAAAGGAAGGAACAUCAAGCUGAGAGAAAAUACAAAGAAAAUAAAGAAGGUUUUAGGUUAUGGCUAGGUUAUGGCUAGCCUUUAAUAUAUUAAUAUUUUAUUAUCAUAUGAUCUGGCUGUGUGAGCAUAUGUUGUCUCCUUACAAGAACAUUCCAUAAAGAUGAGAAAUAAAAAAUAUGAUUUUUUUUUUUUUGGGGGUCCAAAAUAGGAGAAAAACAGAGGAUAUGAUACCCUGUCUACUGAGGCCCUCUCUUUUGACUUUACCUUGUUACAUUUAACUUCUAUCUUUACUGUUGAGCCUUAAUCACUGUUGCUUGCUUUGUCUCUAUCGUUUUCCUCUCUCCCUCUCUAUAUAUCUCUCAAAAAAGGGGUGUGCUGAUUAACAUGUAAAAAGAAGCCAAACAUUGUUGGUGGGGUAUUCUACUUGAGAGUGUUUCUGACGAUUCCAAGCUUGAAUCUUCAUGUUUGAGCACCAAUGUUCUUUGGUUUUCUGCUGAAACAACAACAAUGAGGAAUAAUUGGGUUGGUUUGUUUCUCAUUCUCGUGGUUUUUGGUGGGUUCUCGUCAGUCUCAGCCUCCCCACCUGUUGCAAGUGAGUAUAAGCUCCAGAACCCUUAUGUUUCUUUUGCAUUUACUCACCUCUCUGCUUCAAAUGUUUGGUUUUGCUUCAACUUUCAACUCUGCCUUCAUUUUCAUAUUCUCCUUUUUGCAGAAAUUGUUAGUGGAAUUGUGUCCAAUGUGGUCUCUGCUCUUGUGAAGUGGCUGUGGUCACUGAAGUCUACCACCAAUACAGGUACAUAUCCUUUACUGAUCUCACAUAUAGCUCUGUCCCUCUGCUUCUUGCGGUUAUUCACACCUGUAGGCUAGACAUUGCUCUCUGCAAUUUUGUGGUUGAUGGGCUUGAUGGGAUUUGAUUUUUCAGCAAUUUCUAGCCGUUCCAAGAUGAAUUUUGAGGAUGGAUAUACUGUGGAAACAGUGUUUGAUGGUAGUAAGCUGGGAAUCGAACCAUACUCUCUAGAGGUAUCCACAAGUGGAGAGCUUCUAGUUUUGGACUCUGAAAACAGUAACAUUUACAAGAUCUCAUCCCCACUGUCUCGAUGUAAGCUACUUUUUUCUAUAAUGGUUAGGAAUUGUUCUUAAUUAAAUGUGUUUAGUUGAGUUCUAUUAUCUAAGUUCCAUCUUCCCAUAAAGUUGUUGUCAUUACUUGGUUUUAGUAGGUAUGCCUUAAUACCCAGUUAAAGUUCCAUAUCGAGAUUUGUUGUUUUGUGUUUUUGGCCUUGUGGAAGGACUUGGCUUCAUUCUUUGGGGAUACUUAUUUUUCUGAUUUCUUAUUAGUUAUUUCUUGAAAGAUCUCUCACCCAAUCCCAGCUUUUAGUUUUCAUCCACUUAUGAAAAAUGAGGUUUUAAUUUGCUUUUGUUUAGCAGAAGACUCCACUUUUGAAAGUACAUUAGACCUUUUAGUUUUGUUUCUGGAGAACCAAUUCCAUCUUUUAGUGAUUUGCUAUCUUUCACUUUUGUGACGAAGUUUCUUUAUUGACACUCUAGACUUGUUCUUCUGUCCUUUUUUCUCUAUCAGUCUAUGGUCCUUUAUCUUUGUUAUCUAAAUGAAGAUUCUCACGCACUUUUCUACAGAGCAAACUCAUGAUUGUAUACUCUAAUGUUUGGGAAUCUCUUUGAGCUUCUACAAGAAGCCACACCCAUUUUAAUUUUUCUUUUUUCAAAUUUAUGGGUCCAUUCAAAUUUUUUGGUAAGGCCUUUUUUUAUGUAGAACAAUUUGGGUAGAUUUUCUUUAAUCACCACCUGCAUUUCAUUACCAUGGCUUCUGUUUUAUAUGGUUCAGGCAAAGAAUGUUGAGUCAGAUUAUGUUGUUGUUUAUGGUUCUACCUCCUUAGUAGCUUGGUUGUUUUGGUACAGUUCUACAUGUUUUGUAUGUUAAAGUUGAUGAUGAACUGCAGAUAGCAGACCCAAACUGGUUGCUGGCUCGCCUGAUGGGUACUCUGGGCAUGUAGAUGGGAAGCUAAGAGAAGCAAGGAUGAACCAUCCAAAAGGGCUUACAAUGGAUGAGAGAGGAAAUAUUUACAUUGCAGACACUAUGAAUAUGGCUAUCAGGAAGAUCAGUGAUGCAGGUAAACUUCAGGUGUUUAAGGCAUUCCCUCAAAUUAAUGAACACAACUAUCUUCUCAAUUGAUCAUACAUGAUACUAAUUUUUCAAUUAAAACAUCACUUGUUAUUGUUGAUUACAAAUCUAAUAAUCUUGACUUCCAUAACAUAAUUUAGCAGUUUACCUAUUUUUCACAUGCCCUGUCUCUCUAUAUUAAUAUGGCACUGUCUAUUUGCCAUAGAUGAGCUAAAUCAUCAGAUUGGUAUUUAACCCAAGGAUUUGCUUUAUGCAGGAGUUACAACUAUAGCAGGAGGAAAGUGGGGGCGAGGAGGGGGCCAUGUCGAUGGUCCAAGUGAAGAUGCAAAGUUCUCAAAUGAUUUUGACGUGGUUUACAUUGGAAGUAGUUGCUCUCUUUUGGUUAUAGACAGAGGAAACCAGGCAAUUCGGGAGAUCCAACUUCAUUAUGAAGAUUGUGCUUACCAGUAUAAUGGUAGUUUUCAUUUAGGUAAACUCAGAUUGGCAAACUUUGUCAUUGCCAUCACUUCUCCAUGGUUAUGGAGAUUUAUGAGACGGUUUUCUCUUAUUGCUGUUGCAGGGAUAGCAGUCCUUGUUGCAGCUGGUUUCUUUGGUUAUAUGCUGGCAUUGCUGCAACGUAGAGUGGCAGCAAUGUUUUCUUCCCAAUAUGUAAGUGAUCCAGCAUUUUUUACACUUCGUUUUUGGAUCUUCAUUUAAGGAUCAAAUUUCUUGAAUUAUCAUGAACUUACUGAAUCUUGAAAAUCAAUCAUUAAUUGUUCUUUAAAUGCUCAAAUCGUUGGAAAUACCUCAAAGUUAUGCAUGUUAAGUUCCUAAUGGUCAGUCCAAAUCUGAUCUGAGAUUUCCCUAUCAAGCCUGGUCACAGACUAUUCCUGCUAAUGGAAACUUGUCAAAGUUCAUUUGCCAAUUCUUUUCAUGAUAAGUCCAGUGUAAGUUCAAACUUAUUUGACUUGUUUGAUAUGUUAUAAACAUCUUGCUCGUUCAUACUUUCUAGGAUUCAAGCACUCCUAUGAAGAAAGGUAUGCCUCCAGAAUCAUAUCAGAGGCCUCUUAAAUCAGUCAGGGCCCCCUUAAUCCCAACUGAAGAUGAGUAUGAGAAAGCAGAUGAGGGGUUCUUCGGUUCACUUGGGAGGCUUUUCCUCAACACAGGUUCAACUCUGGCUGAAAUAUUUGGGGGAUUGUUUUCAGGUUCUAGAAAGAAGCCACCCCACCAGCAAAUCCAGCAGCAGUACGGGCAACCGAAUGUGCACUCAAAUGGCUGGCCCAUGCAAGAGAGCUAUGUGAUUCCAGAUGAAGACGAGCCACCAUCAAUAGAGUCCAGAGCCCCAACACCCAAGAAAACUUAUCCAUUUAUGACUCCAGAAAUGGAGAAGACCCACCAUUUCAGGCAAAGUCGGACUUUCUACAGUAAUGGUUGGGAUGGGAAUUAUCAACAACUGCAACAAAAGCAGAUACAGCAAAAGCAGCAAUACCAGCAGCACCAUCAAAAGCAUUACUCAUCGAAUCCCCAGACUUACUAUGAGCAGAGCUGUGAGACAAAAAAUGAGAUUGUUUUUGGAGCAGUUCAGGAGCAGGAUGGACGACGUGAAGCUAUGGUGAUAAAGGCUGUUGACUAUGGAGAUCCUGUUUAUAAUCACCAUAACAUUCGACCCCGUCUCAAUUACAUGGGUUAUUCCCAUGCCUACUGAUCUUGUGUCCUAGGAAUAUAUAUGAAACUGGAAGAUGAUAUUUUUGAAAUGAAAGUAGGAUUGCACUGUGAUUUUCCUUUUUUUUUUUUUCUUUAAGAAGGAAUUUUAGUUCUCCCAAGUUUCCUUCAGUGAAUGAAUGUAUGACAAAGCAACACACAAACCAUGCAGAAUCUGUAUCGUCUUUUUGACUUUGAAAUCAAGAGAAUCAAAGAUUGGUCACUUUCCUUCUAAUUAAGCUGGAAAUGUGGCAGUUCCAGUAUAAUCAUUAGUUUUGUAAUUGGAGGAUGGAAUAUAGCCCGAGAAUUUGGAAGAACUAGUCUUGACAACUCAAACUUAUUAAACUUUGGAUUAUGAUUCAUCGAUUCCCAGAAAAUUCAUGAGGCUUCUUCUGCAGAAGCUAGUCUGGCAGGUUGAUCUCAUCCACCUUACCAAUGAACCACCCAGCUUACAUACCUUAUCAACUCAUCUUUUACCUCUGAAAAGUUCAUAUCAGGGAAAGAACUUGUGUAGCUGAGGACCAUUGCAUAAUGCACAUACUGAAGUUAAAUUGGCUGUUGUGAGUGGCACAAUCACCAAGGCAGGCAACCGGAUCCCCCACAAUUAAUCAAGAUCACAUGUAUUCUGAUGGGGACCAGAUAAAACUGUAGCACUAGGAGGUUUCUGAAUCAGUCCAUUGAGAAUCAAACAAGCAUGACGAUGAAAAGAAUUGACUGAGUCAUAUCUAUUAUUUUUUUCCAUUAAAUUCUAAUAACCCAAUUCCUAAUUUUACACAGAAAGAUACAAUUGUACCUCUGUAUUUAUGGGAGCAGCAGCAUGACUUUUAUCUUACAUUGAAAGGUGAAAAUUAUUGAGCUCACUCCAGAAACUCAAGGGCCCCAUUGAUCCAACACAUGGCAUUUAGCAUCCCAACAUGUGGGGAUUCCUCUUUGAAUUCCUUAAGCAUCUGCAGAAACAUGUUUUUCUUAUUGAAAGAACCUCAUAACAGGGGCCGGAAAAAUAGAAAAUAAGCUUCAUAUUCUCACAUCCAAAUGGGAGAAAAUUCAUACAAAAUAACUCCAUCUAGCAUUGAGAAUCAUUCUAUAAAUUUCAGAAAGACUGAAAGAACCAACCGUGUUUGAAAAGAAUUAAAGUAUUAAUAGACACAACAUCUGCAAUAAAUUAUGAUCUUCAUUUAUGAACUACCCUGUAGUUGAUGUGAAUAACAGAACAAUGAUGAACAAAAGAAUGGUUUUCAUUCAUUGGUUUCUAUACUUUUUUUUACAAGUAACUAUAGUUUCCUCUGACUUUUGACAUGAACUAAAUGGAUCUCAUACCGAGAGCAAAGCUGGAGUCCCAUUAAUUGUGUGCACCAUUAACAAAAGAGUGGCCCUCCCCAGGACUGGGACCAGAGUUCUUGAUCCCCCAGAGGCCAAGCACUUCAACAUACCGGUUGGCCCUCUCCAUUAGGCCAGGAACUGACUUCAUCAUGGCGCUGUGGUCAUGUAUGGGGCGGGCUUGUAUGUAGGAAGAGAGCAGGAUGAAGGUGAUGAAGAAGAGAACUGAGAGGAGGGUCUUGGCCAUGAAUGAAUGAAGAAAAUGAGGAAGAUGAUUGGAUUGUAUAGAGAUGGCUAUGAGGUUUGUGUAUAUUUAUAGGAAAGAAAAGGUCGUAGCCGUGUUUGACUACAAAUGAAGGAGAAAUGCUCCAUUCAAACUAGUACUGUGGUUUCUAAGUUAGGAAGCUGGGGAGGAAACUCACGGUAGUUGAAGAAUGGGUGUUUGGAGACUCGGAAUUUGAGUGUUCAACAAGUCUUUUGAAUUCUUAAAUGGCAUUUUCCAUUGAAUUUCUCUGCUUUCUGUGUCCCAAAUCUUGGCAUGUUGGCUAAAAUACUAAAUGCAACCUUCUUAAAAAAAUACAUACAAAAAUUAUUAAUUUUUAUGGAGGAUUGAAUUUUAAUAUUUAAUUUAUUUAGAUUUUACAUGUAAGUGGAUAUUUGAUAAAUCAAUUUAAUAACUUAAAUUGACUUAAUAACUUAAUUUAAGACAUUAAGUAAAUUAAAUAUAUUUUAUAAAAUAAUUUAAUGUAUGAUUUAAAAUCAAAAAUAAUUUUAAAUAAUAAAUAAAAAUAAUUAAUUUAUUCUUAAAUUUGUAUUUUUAAUUUAUUUUUUUAUUUUCGUUUACCCUAAUUACUUCAAUAAUUUCUUUUAUUAUUUACCAUCUUGAUUGUUACUCAAUCUCCUUUAUCAUAAUCAUAAUUUAUAAAGAUAAAUAUAUCAAUUUGAUUUAAAAUAAUUUUUAAAUUAAUUUUAUCAAUCAAUUUUAAUACUUAUAAUAAAAAUUAAGUAAUAAGUUUUAAGUUAAUAAUUUAAAUAUAAUUUAACUUAAAAUUAAUUUAAAUUAUUAAGCGUAUUAAAUUUUGUCAAAUAGCACAAUCAUUUCAUCUUUUGUAUGCUUAAUUAGUCGAAGCAUUUCCUUAUGUGUUAAGUAAGAUUAAAUAAUAAUAAUAUUAGGUAUGGUAGAUGAAAUCGGUUAAUGGGUAUUUGUUUUUUAAAAUAUUAAUUAUUAUAUAAAUUGUUGGAAAAAAGAAAAGAAAAAAUGAAAACAUGUGCCAGUAGACCUUUGAAUACAUGGGGGCCACGUUUCUUGCGUGUAUGUGUGAGUGACUGAUCAGUCAAGUCGGACCGUUGAUCUGCUGACUCAUCUCUUAGAUAAAGAUCAACAAAAAAAAGAAGUCAAAUUCACCUAACAAAAUUUCAAAGAAAAUAUUUUAAGAAUUAAAAAUUUCAACAAAAGGAAAUCAAGCUUGACUUGAACAGCAUAUUUAAUUUCUUUUCAUAUUUGGAAAAGAAAAAAAAAAUUGGCAUUCAAAAUUGGACGUGGGAAGAGGAAAGUGAAAAUAAUAAAAUAAAAUAAAUAUACUAGAAUAAUAUUAAAAAAUUGUUAUUUAGCAUAUAUUAUUUUUUAAAAUAUUUUUUUUAUUUCUUUAUAAAUAUUAAAGAAAUAAGACAGCUAGAAUCAGUCAGCCUUGGAGUUCAAAGAGGUGCACAUGUUCCACUUUGGAUUUGUACGAAUAAACACAUUUUUUAUUUUAGGGUAGUUGGGAACUUGGAAGAGAGAUUUAUUUUAACAUUUAUUAUGAUUUAUUUUAUUUUAUUUUUCAUUUUUUUCUACACAUUUAUACUUGGAAAAUGUUGAAGCGUGAUUGAUGGUGUGAUUUGAAAAUAGUUUUUUAUUUUUAAAAAUAAAAAAUUAUUUUUAAAUUUUUUUAAUAUUAUUUGGUUGUUGUUUUUGAUAAAUAAUAUGUAAAAAUAAAGUAAACUAGAGAACAAUUUUUAGAAAAUAAAUAAAUUGUUUUUAUCGAUUUUUAAAAACAAAUUUUAGAAAGCAUGACUAAAGGAGCCUUCAAUUUUUUUUUAAAAUAGAAUUUUAAAAUUUGUCUUAUUUUAUUCUACUAUUUGCUUCUUCGAAUUCUAAAACUUUUUCAAAUUGAAGUGACCGAACAACCCUUUUUUCCUUGAUAAGAAAAUACAUAUCUAUGUUUUUAUAUCAACAAUCAAAUCACAUAGAACAUGAAUGAAAAUAAGUAAAAGGGUUUCUUUCAUUCAUUUUCUUGAGAAUCAAACAUGAAAUUUCUAAUCAAAUAAUUAACCUUUGAAGAAUUAUUUUUGGGCUUAAAAUAAUGUAUUUGUCCAAAUCUUUAGUCUAUUUAAAAGGAAGAAUUAGUUUAAUAAAAUGCUUGUAUGCCAAAACAAGUGUUGGAUUCGCUAGUGGCUUAGAUCUUAUAAUGCCUAAACUUUGGCACCAUUUGAUUGAAACCAAUCAAGGUGCAAAACAUGGCUCUCUAAGGGAGUAUUCAGUCAUUUCAUUGACAACGACCAUGACGUGGCACUAUUACAACCAAUCAUCAAAAAAGUUGCACGGAACCUGAUGCGCAGUGGAUCCCAUCCACUGCGCGCCUUCCCACUUCUCGACCGUUAAAAACCGUUUAAAUAACCGCAGAGAAGGCAGAGAAACGGAUCUACCGGCAACGACAGGUGGACAACCGCUACUAAAACAGUAGUUUCGUCUAAGAGCAAGUAUCCACUGUAAACAGCCUCAGAAGCUCAUAGCUUCAAAUCCAAUCGAGGCUUUCCACGUCAAUGUGACUGUAUUUUUUAUGACGUGGCUUCCACCUAUUGGUACAGCUGCGUUCCCAUGCUUGGAUUAGCUGUUACCGCUUAAAUUGUGUCCCCGUCAUGAAUACCUGGCAACUGGCAAUUUCAGGUAACGGUAAUAAUAACAGUUUUCGUAUUAAGAGAGGCGGGGGAGAGGACAGCGAAUUGGGGGUUUCUGGAGAUCGUCUUCUCUCUUCGAAAUCCUGAUUUCGAAGAAGGAGAUGGCUUCAGGAAACACUGAAACCGAAUCCGAAAUGGCGGAUAUGGCGUUCGCAAAGCGAGGUUGUUGUUUCUGGAUGCCGUGUUUGGGCUCCGAGCGGUCUGCCAGGGAUGGAUCAGUGUGGUGGGAGCGGGUAGGAGGCCCGGCCGAGAAGAAAGAUGGGUGGUGGAGCAGAGGCUUGAACGCGCUGAAACAGAUCAGGGAGUGGACGGAGAUCCACGCUGGUCCAAGAUGGAAGACCUUCAUCCGGCAGUUCGGGAAAAGCCGCGGCGGUGGCGGAGGCCGGCACGGGAAAUUCAAUUACGAUCCAUUGAGUUACGCCAUGAACUUCGACGAAGGACCGAGACAGUACGGUCAUUUGGAUGAGGACCACGGCUACCCUGAUUUCUCCUACCGGUACGCAUCAUUGCCGCCGUCGGUAAAGUCGUCGAUGGAUCUCGGCAACGAUGGGCCGUCAUUCACGUGAGUGGCACACGAUGACAGAGACGAAAGAACCGCAAGCGGUAGACACUUGGCGCGAACUUCGGCGUGGACCCGGAGCAUCGUCAAGUGUAGCAGUUGGUUGACUUUUUGGACGGUAUUGAUUGCCUGGCCAAUCAGCGUCGUAUUUUUUUUCCAGUAUUUUAUAAAAAAUUAUUUAAUAAUUCCAUUUCCCAUUGUCAAAACUCAGAAGAGUCAGAUAAAAAAAUAAAAAAUAAAAAGGAGAAAAAUAGAAGGUUUUGAUCGUCUAUGAGGAUGUCCAGGGUCUAGAUGGUGGGGGAGCAAAAGGAUUUCUUUUCAAUAAGAUAGUGCAAAUAAGUUCUUCAGACUGCACGCCAACAAAUUCAGACCUUUUCCAAAAGUCGAUGGCACUUCAACCACUGCCUCACGUAAUCGCAGAGCUGAAUCACUAACCCACUCCAGUGGAUACUUUAUUUGUUUAUUUAUAUGUUGAGUCUGAAAACAAAUAAAUAAUUGCUGAUGGAUUCUUCUAUAAAAUGGGUUCACUUCCAAAAGUGAGAUCAAUGAAUCUAGUAGUUUGUAUAAGUCUAAUCUUAUUAUUUUGUAAUUGCUUUGCUUUGAUGGUACUUUUUUUUAAGCAAAAGCAAAUGGCAUGCUACCCAAUUUAGAUUUGGCUGAUGUUGAGUGGUGUUUUGAGGCGUGGGGAUGGAAAUGGUGUAGAAACUGAGGAUGACUGUCGACCCACUUCUUCUUAGUGAUGAAAUCCAAAAGGGGUUUAGCACUGAAUGGGUUCAAUUGUCGACCCACUCUCUUUUGUGUCAUUAUUUCUCCUUUUUUCUUCCCAUUUGGCACCUCUCAUUUCUUUCCCUCAUCCCAUCAUGCCCCCUUUUUCCUCCUCGUGGCCUAUCUCAUCCUCACCCACACCCCCAAUUUUCUCUGUCCUUAUCCUUGUUUUCUUGCUGCAUUUGAGUUCUCACGGCUUCUUGAUUGACUUCCGUGGUGUUGGUUGCUGUUAGUAACCACAUGUGCCACGGUCUUCCCAUCACCUCUCAAUUGCUGUGACCUGUCUUUGCGGCAAAGCAUCAUCCCUUUGUCCAUGGAAGUAAAGAAGUGCAGAGGGGGAACCUAAAAGGGAUGGACAAAAUGGGGUUUGAAGCAGAAAAGAGUGCAAGUAAUCCUCUUGUUUCAGUGCUGAUAUGUCCACGGGCAAAUGAUCGCUGAAACUCACACUGGAUGUGUUAUUCAUGGGUCUUUUUGCCACAAGAUUUGCUAAUUCUGAAUAUGAAUCAGGCCAUGAAUGUGCAUAAACAUGUACUAGAUGUAUGAUGAUCUCUUUAGCAUUCUCUCUCCUCUACAUGCUGUGCCCCACACACCCUGUUCUUCUUGGGCUAAACUGCACUUUAAAGGAAGCUUGAGCCCACCAGUCCCCACCAUUUAUCGGGAGUGGAAGCGGGGCCUCUUACCAUUUAUUAUACUGUGAUUUGACCCACGCGCUUCUACGUUGAUGGACAUACAAGAGACAAAUGUACCCGAGUUGUCUUUUUGAGAUACUUCACAUUAAUCGAAGUAGUUGGUAGCCAGACUGUAGAGCCCACUUCAUGGCAGUAGUUUGAUGCAAAUCCAAAUCUGUAACUGGUUGGCAACCGCGUGGGGUUCAUUUCUGUAUUGGAGUCUACUGAGCCCAUAUCAUUUAGUGGAUGGAUCACUCAUCCUCCAAAGUUAAAAAUAAGCGUCUAUAAAGCAGUAAAGCCACGGAGGAAAGCAGGAAAACAAACUUGGGAAAUACAGUAAGAGGGAAAAAUCUCAGAUGCCGUGGGUGGAAUUCUUUUUGGGUAUCCAAUGAGAAGGUGGAAUCCCACUUGAUUAUACAGCCAAAGAUGAUGACUGGUGAAGAUGAGAGAGAGAGAGAGCAAGAGGUUUUUGACAAGGGUGAGAACUUCUACGAGGUCACAUGGGUAGAUGAAGGCAUGAGACUCCACGCCAUGGCCAUCACUGCUACACCCAUGUUAUGAAUCAAAGGUCUCAUCGCCAAAACUAAAGAUUCUGUUCACAGUGCUUUUCAUGGAUCCCACCACCACUGCCCAAGCCCAAAAGAUCGUGCUCGCAUUUAUCCCAAAAGGUUUAUGAAAAAACAAAGAAAAAAAAUUGAACUAAAGACUCAAAAGACCAACAAAGCCAAAAGAAAUCGGCCCCUCUGAUCUGGAUCGUGUUCAGACAAACCCUGAAAAAAGGGUAAAAGAGAGGGAAAGAACAUCUCAUGCAUUUGAAUGUUGGACCAAUAAAUGGAAAUGAAUUGUCACAAAAUGUUCGCCCAUGGAUGGGGCCAUGGCAUACUUGAACUUUUGGAGUUGUCCGGAGGAAUAAGAGCUGAGUUUAAACAUAGUCGAAGCUCCAAAUUAACAAUCGAUGCUCCAAAUUAACAGUCGAUGCUCCAAAUUUUCAAGGUUUAAAUGCAAAUGCAAUGAUUAGGCAACAACAUAGGCGGGAAGGGGAGACGACACUGUUUAGGAAAAAAAAUGUUCAUGAGUGCUUGUCUGCCAACUAAACCCUGCUUUAAAAUAGUCUUAUGGCACAAUAGUUGGAAUCGCGGAAAGAAAAACUUUUUCUUUUUGGUAUUUGAUACUUUAUUGCAGAAGAACAAGAAAAGACUAAAGAUUGCAUCCUAUAAUUGACAGAUACUCUACCAUCCGUCUCCACAAGAUCGAUCGCCCUUGAAUAGAAAACAUGUUCAAUGACAACAUUCCCAAUACCAGCGCCCCUAGGAUAAUGUAAUCCCUCUUAAGAUCUUUCCCACCAAGACAUGGUUCAACAAUUGUUGGGGGAGGGGUACAAUUCACAGGAUGUGCAAAAUGUAAACAAUAUACACUCAUAUGAACAUCUUCUUCUACAAGAGAUAGGAGUUAAAGGCAUUUCUAAUUCAUCACUUCGGGAAAAAAGAGAUCAAAAGAUGAGUUUGGGUUUUCGAGUUUCAAUCAAGGAUACAAGUACAAUGGUAAAAUUACCGUGAGAGAUCAAUCAUAUUCUUGAAUUAGCAUCCCAAAAAUUGUAGGAAGAAAAGGCAAACAGUAAGACUAAAACAAGCUUUGAUCAAUGGAUCAACAAUGAAUCAUGGAAGCAGAACAGAAAAUACCUUUCACAUCUCUUGUUUUCUCCCCAUCCAUGGCAGGUCCACAUUAAGAGAAGGCAUACCGGUCUGGGUAUUGUCUGAGGAGCUUGGAAAUUUACCCUUCUUCGACCAAAGCCAGAUUUUGGAAACAGAAUAGCUGUCACCUUUAGUCACAAAACUAUUCCUUGUCCCUUCUGUUUCCUCAUUAAUUGAAGGAUUUGCAUUAUUUUCUAUCCCUUUCACAAUCUUCCCAUCUGGAUGUUGUUGUUCAUGGUUCAGAGCCACCCGCAAAAUUGAAUCACCAACAACAUAUUGAAAUGAACCCAUGGAGUAGCAUCUUCUUGCAUCUAAAUUACUGCUGCUGGUCUCUCCUCCUGCUGUUUCCCCUGAUCCAUCAGCCACCUUUCUGAAUUUACCAAGUCUCACAGGAAAAACCCCCUUUUCUCCAACAACUUCUUCAAUUUCUACUGUCUUUGGACCAGAGGCGAACCCAUUUUCUCCAUGACCAGGAAAACCAUCUUCUUCCCUCAAAUCAUCGAAAUCAAAAAUUGGGUUUUCCAUUGAGAAGCCAGGAGCAAAGAGGGUCCCUCUACAGAGAGGGCAUGUUGAAUUUGAUAGGAGCCAAGUAUCUAUACAAUUGAUAUGGAAUGCAUGGCUGCACACAGGAAGCAAUCUCAGCUUGUCCUUCUCAGAAAAUUCACAAAGACAAACAGCACAGUCAAAUGGUUCUUUCAGACCCACUAUCUCUUUGUACAAGAACACUGGGAGGGCGUCUAUAAAGGCUUGAUCCAGACCAGAGUCGUGAAGAUGAAAGAGUUGCUGCAGCUGCCUUUGAAGAGCAUCAGAUUCAGAAAUUUCAGGGUAUCUAUUAGAUUGUGAGGAUGUGGAAGAAGAAGGAUGCCUUAUGAGAAAUCUAACAAGCAAGUGGAGAAGGCCAGAGAUGAAGAACAGAACAGCUACAAUCACUAUAAUGAAAAGAACAGCUGGACUUAUUCUAGUACCAGAGGAUGAUGAAGAUGAAGGUGCUGUUGAUCCUUUAUGAAAAGCAGCAGUAUAUGGAGAUGAAGAUGAUGGAGUCAGAGGAGGUGGGUAGGUCAGAUAUCCAUCUUUCUGCUUGAUUUGAUGCUGAAUCCAAGACAUCUUCAAAUGGGUAUGCCCAAAAAACCAUCUAUGCUCUCUUUCUGACAUUGAACAGACCAUCUGGGAACACUCAAAAACCAUGCCUUUUCCCUCAUAGAUCAACCCAACUCAUCUUCUCACCACUAGAGCUAGCACAAACAGUUUCUUCUUCCCCUAAAUAUAGAAGCACAAAACUCCACUCCCUCAACUUUUUCCCUCAGAUUUGACAGAAAACAAGGGUGGUUCAGUAGGUUGUAUGGUGCAACAAGUACCAUUUUUUUAUGCUUCCAGCUGAAACCCAACUCACUGAUUGUUCAAUAACAAGAGAAUAUGACAUGACAAGUGUUAAGGUGAGAACCACCUACCUUGAUUCUGAAGAGUCCACCAUUAAUAUAGACUUAAAAGCUCUUGCAAAUGGAUGCUCUUUGCAGCAUGAAAAACCCUAAGCCACAGGCUUUUUUGAGGUGAUUUUCACUCUUAUAUCUCAAACGUGAAUAGGAAAGUGAAAUGUGGCUACUCACUUUCUCUCUCUAGACCACCCUUCUUUCUCUUUCUCUCUCUCUCUCUACUCUGGUAGAAACCUUGGAACCCAGAAGGCUGGCAGUGACAGCAGUUUCCUAAAGGAAGCCAAAAAGAACUGAAGUGGGUCCACGCGCCAAUCAAAGCGAGUGGGUAAAAUAGUCAACCACAAGCGACAAGGUACUGCUUCCAAUGUGGGCUCUUCAAAAGUGGGCCUGGGCUUUCCCACUUGUGGGCUUGGUGAACAACGAUCCCAUGCAAUAGGGUGCAGCACCAAGACCCUGAUGCCUCAUUUUCACACCUUAAUCAAGGGUUGAAAUACUCAUCACUUUGUUAAACAUUGGGUCCAUGGCACCCUUAUCAAGCCCAUCACAUAUGGAUCAUCUUUAAUCAAACAAUCACACUGUCUCGAUCGAUCGCCACUCAUGCAUCAAACCUUAAUUAGUCCAUACAAGAAAUGCAUACAAGCAUCUCCCAAAUCCAUUUCAUUCAUCUUUCCUUGAAUUGUAUCUUGCAUUCACUUUCAAGUAUUUAUUACAUUCAAAUUGAUGGUAUAGCUCACAUUUCUUGAGUGAUUUGGAUUAAGAUAUUACUUGUAGUUGUGGGUGUCUUUCAAGAUUGGAACAUGUGAAUGCCUCUUUAUCUUGUGGCCAAAGGCAAUUAGGU